UUUUUUUCAGGUUCCUCCGGCUUCAGCCCCUUCGGCGCCGGCCCCCGCGCCCCCCUCGUGGAGCGAUGCGCGGCGGCAGCCCCCGACGGUCCCCCUGGCACGGCGCCCUCUGCCGUCACCACCUGGCUUCGUGACUCCCUCCCCCGAGGUCGAGUCCGAGCGGGCCCCUGGGUCCUUGUCUCCCUCAUACGAGGNNNNNNNNNNNNNNNNNNNNNNNNNNNNNNNNNNNNNNNNNNNNNNNNNNNNNNNNNNNNNNNNNNNNNNNNNNNNNNNNNNNNNNNNNNNNNNNNNNNNNNNNNNNNNNNNNNNNNNNNNNNNNNNNNNNNNNNNNNNNNNNNNNNNNNNNNNNNNNNNNNNNNNNNNNNNNNNNNNNNNNNNNNNNNNNNNNNNNNNNNNNNNNNNNNNNNNNNNNNNNNNNNNNNNNNNNNNNNNNNNNNNNNNNNNNNNNNNNNNNNNNNNNNNNNNNNNNNNNNNNNNNNNNNNNNNNNNNNNNNNNNNNNNNNNNNNNNNNNNNNNNNNNNNNNNNNNNNNNNNNNNNNNNNNNNNNNNNNNNNNNNNNNNNNNNNNNNNNNNNNNNNNNNNNNNNNNNNNNNNNNNNNNNNNNNNNNNNNNNNNNNNNNNNNNNNNNNNNNNNNNNNNNNNNNNNNNNNNNNNNNNNNNNNNNNNNNNNNNNNNNNNNNNNNNNNNNNNNNNNNNNNNNNNNNNNNNNNNNNNNNNNNNNNNNNNNNNNNNNNNNNNNNNNNNNNNNNNNNNNNNNNNNNCGCGGCCGCCGCAGCCCCCGCCGCCGCUCCGGGUGCCCCCGCCGCCGCGGCACUCGCCGGCCCUGCUGCCCCGCCACUUGGCGUGACUACCCGUGCCCGAGCAGGAGUGCUUCGGCCCAACACGCGCUACUCCGCCGACGAGUAUGUGUGCGCCGCCUCGACGUCGACGCCAUCACCCGUCCCACCUCCGCUCGCGCUGCCCUUCGGGAUCCCCACUGGCUAGCUGCGAUGCAGGAGGAGUUCGACGCCUUACAGCGCAACCGCACAUGGCAUCUUGUUCCGCGACCGCACCGUGCCAACAUCAUCUCUAGCAAGUGGGUGUUUCGCCACAAGACUCGCCCGGACAGUUCUCUCGAGCGCUACAAGGCUCGAUGGGUUGUUCGUGGUUUUCGGCAGCGCGCGGGCGUGGACUUCAUCGACACCUUCGCCCCGGUUGUGAAACCGGGCACGAUCCGCGCCGUCCUUCAGCUGGCCGUCUCGCGCGCCUGGCCUGUGCAUCAGUUGGACGUUUCCAACGCCUUCUUGCACGGUCAUCUUGCCGAGCAGGUGUUCUGUGAGCAGCCUACUGGUUUCGUCGACGCCGAGCACCCCGACUUCGUAUGCUCGCUCUCCCACUUUCUGUACGGGCUGAAGCAGGCGCCUCGGGCUUGGUACCAGCGUAUCGCAGCCUUCCUGCAGUCUCUGGGCUUUCGGUCCACUCGCUCCGAUGCCUCACUCUUUGUGUAUCAUCAGGGAGCUGACACUGCAUAUCUGCUGCUCUACGUCAACGACAUCAUCCUCACGGCGUCCACCCCCGAUCUCCUUCAGCGGCUGACUGCUCGUCUUCGUGAUGAGUUCGCCCUCAAGGACUUGGGGCCCCUGCACUACUUUCUCGGAAUCGAGGUGAUCCGCCGGGCUGACGGUUUCUUUCUGCAUCAGCAGAAGUACGCCCACGAGCUCCUUGAGCGUGCCGGUAUGCUUAACUGCAAGCCGACGCCCACCCCCGUCGAUACGAAGGCGAAGGUCUUUGCUCUAGAGGGGUCUCUCGCGUCCGAUGAAGCGUUUAAUCGCUCUAUUGUCGGUGCUUCACAGUACUUGACGCUGACUCGCCCCGACCUGCAGUACGCUGUUCAGCAGGUGUGCCUCCAUAUGCACGCCCCGCGUGACUCUCACUGGACUCUGGUGAAAUGUAUUCUCCGUUACAUAUGCGGCACCAUGUCCUUGGGACUCACCCUGACGGCCUCCGCCUCCACCGACCUCGUGGCCUACUCGGAUGCUGACUGGGCUGGCUGCCCGGACACGCGACGCUCUACGUCAGGCUACUGCGUCUACCUUGGGCCCUCGUUGAUCUCUUGGUCAUCGAAGCGGCAGCCCACGGUCUCCCGCUCCAGCGCUGAGGCAGAGUAUCGCGCCGUGGCCAAAGCAGUGGCCGAGUGCUCUUGGAUACGUCAGCUGCUCCAGGAGUUGCUUUGUGAUGUUCACAAGGCCACUCUUGUCUACUGCGAUGACGUCAGCGCGGUCUACCUCUCCGCCAACCCGGUGCACCAUCGAUGGACAAAGCAUAUUGAGCUCGAUAUUAAUUUCGUGCGCGAGCAGGUUGCCCUUGGCCGUGUUCGGGUUCUCCACGUGCCGACAACGCAACAGUUUGCUGAUGUGAUGACUAAGGGAUUGCCUACUCCCGUCUUCGAGGAGUUUCGGUCCAGUCUCUGUGUCUCCGGCGACGCUUCGACUGCGGGGGGGUGUUGAGUAUGUAUUUUGUACUGCACGUGUAUUGGAGUUGUACUGCAUGUGUAUUGGAGUUGUGGCCCACCUCCUAGUCUUGUAUAGUUGAGGUAGAGGCCUUCUCUUGUAUUAUAUAUGCGUGCACCAGUACCCCAAAUCAAUACAACGAUUAUUGUAUUGCAAAACAUCUCUCUACACUGGCGACGGCGACGGAGCGCGCCGGACGCAAGGGAGAAGAGAAGGCGAAGCAAGAGGACUCGGUCGUCCGUCUGACCGACCCAGUCUGGUGCUACGACGCCUGCCGUGAACAUCCGGAAUUGGACUAUACCCAAUGCGUCAAGGAUUGCUACGCUGAGAAUAUGCCAGACGCCGCACUGCUAGCGGCCCAUGGAGGAACUGGAGGUGAAGAAGCAAGAGGAGGAGCGGUUGAUGUCCCAAUGGCGACGGUGCAGCAUGAGGCUGCUGCAGGUGCACUGUCAGGGAGCAACUGCGAUGAGUAUUGCCGCAAACACUAUGAUGAAGGCUCACCCGGAUACAGGCACUGCCAGUAUAUGUGCCCACGUCUGACGGUCCAUGGGGUAGCAGAAGGAGAAGAAUCAAGAGGAGGAGCUGUUGAUGGGCUGACGGCGGUGGGGAAACCACACUGCGAUUGGUUCCGCGACUGUAGUGUAACGCCAUGUGUCUGGCACUGUGGGAAGAGGGUGCAAGCGGAGGACGCACCCUCAGCCUGAACUUGGAGUGACAAAGCAAUUGUCGCCGAGAAGUUGCUGCCGCCUCCUGCACGGACAGCAUCGUCUGUUCUCACAAGGUUUUAAUUAGGUGGUCGAUCUUGUUGUUAGCUACUUUGUUAAUUAUCAUUUCCGUUUUCGUCCUAGUAUUUCAUGUGCGAGCACACAACCUUCUUUGUGUGUGCCGCGCUUUCAAGGCCACCACCGCUUUCCCAUCAGAAUAAAAGGAGGUGCGAUGCAAGGAAAACUGCACUAUCAAGGAAUCAAGCUCGCUAGCUCUAAAUAUGAUAUAUAAUAAAGCUAACUGCACUAGAUCGACAAACAGUACUCCUAUUAUUUUCAUCGCCAAGGACACGUCACGCAUGGGUCGCCGCGUUAACUGCACUAAAUCCACUGAGAGUGAUGCUAAUAUAAUCUGGCGGCAAGGUUGCGUGCACCUAUAAGGGUGUGUUUGUUUGGGCUGCAGCUUCUUCGGCUGCAGCUGCACCGGCUCCAGCUGGAAGGAGCGGCUGUAGCUGCUAGCUGUGGCUGGAAGGUUGGAGCUGAAGUGCAGCCGUUUGGGAGUUGUGCUGUGGCAGCUGCGGCUGAUGCUGAAACAUGCUGAAAUGACCAUAACACCCUUUGUUCUUCUGUAGAUUGGGUUUAAGUGCUGAUUUCACUGUUUUAAUAGUAAAUGGCCCGACUUGAAUUGUUUUAGUCGUAGAUGGCUAGUCUCACAUAUUUGAACUGGGAUCAUACUAGUUUUCACAUAUUCUAGCACAUGACAAUAUUUUUGAACUCGUCAUAGCAUAUGGUAUUAAUUAUAUAUUACAUGAGACACUGACCGUCCGUCAGUACCACAAACCAUCAUUUAAUCCAUACAGAACAUGUUUUAACAGUGCACAAUUUACGUAGCAAAUGCAUAAUUCAACAUGGUACAACAAGCAAACACAUGUUUCAAAUUGUUCAAAAGAACCAAAAUAAGUAAAGAUACACGACAGAAGCUACUUCUUUCUAUCAUCAAACUGUCUCUUGAGCCAAUUGAGUCUCCCUUCAUUUGUCUUCAUUGCAUAAAAGAAGCUGCGGUUUGAUGGUUUGGCAAACAACUUUCUAGCCAUGUAGUACUCAUCACUAGUCUCGGAGGCUCCACACUUGGCAACCUCUUCCAUAAUGGCAAGAAUAUCAUCAUUGUCAGCGGUCUUACUAGUUUGGCCGGCACAAUCUUCCUGUAUGACAUGAUCAACAAACCUUUUGAAGUCCUUUGGCACAUUAUUUUUCUUGAACUUGGAUGGACUACAAGGAAUUGCACUUUUUGGACGCUUGCGCUUUGGUUGUGCUGGGCUUGGUUGAACAGGGCUGGGAACUUGAGUCUCAUUCUCUUCUUCAUACAACUCAUGUAUAUCUUCCUCAGUUUUAGUUUCUUCCACCUCUUCAUUAUCCACUCCAGGCAUGACAGAUGAGAGUCCAUCAACGUUAGCCUUUUCAAACAUGAUUGCUAGCUUAUUCAAGCUAUCUGGAGGUCCAUGGCGAAAAGCUUUAAUUGGCUUGUGAAUCUGCACGAACAAAAUAACAAGGUAACGCUUUUAGUGGCAUAAUAUAGCGUGACAGUAGUAGAUAUUCACGUAUGAAAUCAACUAACCGCAAUCAAUGAAGCCCACUGAUCAUCAUCUGCUGUAAUAGUUUGCUCCACAUCAUCCCAUCCAAGCCCAGUAGCUUUGUUUUUGUAAAAUACCCAUGCAGAGUAUAUAUCUUUCAUAUCAUCCCAACGAUUCCUGAAUUGCUUCUGUACAUAGUUUCUUCCGGUCUGUGCGUUGAAGGCUGCAAUUAAACCCUUAUAUCCAGCAGGAGUUAAAGCCUUGGUUGGCCUAUUUCCAAGCCGUACUUGUGCAGCGGCACACUCACAGAAAAUUCUGGUGGCCUCUCGAUCCCACCGAGCUUUUACUUUGGGUCCUUCCAUCUAUACAACCAAGUAUGAGUUUGCAAAUGGAAGUAACAGUAGCAGUCCCAAGUACCAAAUCAAGCAUUCAAAUUUGCAAUUUGUAAAAACAGAGAACACACUAGCAGUUCGCUACUACCAAAUGGAGCAGUCAAAUUUGCAAUUUAUAUUAAAAGAGCACAGACUAGCAGUUCCCUUGUACCAAAUGUGAGCAGUCAAAUUUGCAGUAGCACGCACUAGCACUUGGCCAAUUUCCAAGCCGUACUUGUGUUGCGGCACACUAGCAGUUCGCUUGUAUCAAAUGAGAGCAGUCAAACUCGCUUGUAUCGUAAUUUAUAUAAACAGAGAAUACUCAGCAGUUCACAGUACCAAAUUAAGUAGUCAAAUUUGCAAUUUACAUAAACAUAACACACACUUGUCGUUCGCUAGUACUAAAUGCAAGUAGUCAAAUUAGCCAUUCAUGUAGAUACCCAUAGCUAUUAGCACUAAGCUAGCUAGUACCAAAUCAAGCAGUCAAACAUUUGACUCCACAACACACAUCACACAGAGCCAUGGCACACACACACGCACACCGCACAGCACGGACAUUGAGAGCGAACCAGAACACGUACGUACGGAGAGAGAGGCGCAUGAGCUACCUGGACAUCGCGUUUGGCCUGAGUAGCCGGUGGCCGGCGUUGGGGCGGGUGGCAUGCGAUCUGGAGAUGGGGAGGGCGCUGGCCGCCGUUCCUGCGGAUGGAGGCGGAGUCCCUGUGCUCCGGGAACGGAGAUACAGAAGCUUCUUCUCCGGUUCGCCGGCCGGCGUUGGCCUGCGUCGCCGGCGGCCGGCGUUGGGGCGGAUGUGGCGGCGGGGAAGGACCGGGGAACCCUAGAGACUUAUAUUUAGGAACGGAGGGAGUAGUUAAUUUGGAAGCAAGUGCUUAUCUAUGCACAUAAGUAGCAAGUUGAUAUAUGAUGGAGCCAUGAACAUGCACAUGCAUCUGCCGCGGCGUGUCCGUGGGAGAGCAGGAUCAAAGAUGCCUCUCGCGUGGCUGUCUAGUAGAAACCUUUGCCUAACUUCACCAGAUGGACUCACAGUGCUCCCAAUAUUUUCAUCGCCAAAAAAUAAAGAAUGAGAGAGGACAGGUCACGCAUGGGCCUCCACGCUAGCUGCACUAAGAUCCACUCGGAGUGAUGCUAAUAUAAUCUGGCGGCAAGGCUGCAUGCACAUGCAUUCACCACGUAGCAGCUGAGCCACUUGAUCCACCGCUUCUGUGUGCAUCCAUGUAACCAAGGAGCAUCUCGCCAUACUCGAGCAGUUAAGCUUAUGCACGUGAUGGCAGUCAAACCUUCAUGGAAGCCCAUGCACUGCACGGGCGCAGAUGUCGGGUCUGGUCUGAUCGGAUGGAUGAAGAUACCUCUGUCACGUCAUCCACCCAUCAAGAGAAAUUAUCAAGAUCUUUCUUCUUCAUAGUCCUAAAGUCGACAUAAAAUUAAUAGAUAUGUCAUUUUCACUUGUAUUGUAAAAUAAUGAGCAUCAUUUGACUAUAGAUUUAAUCUACAUAGGAGGCCACAAAUACAAGGGAAUAAUGAGCACCAUUUAAUCUACAUAGGAGGCCACAAAUUUGUGCAUAUCCUUUUGUAGUCAUCAUCUUUCUUCUCAAAAAUCACAUCUACACACACAUCUAGUAGACCGCAACACAUCAAAAUCUGUUAACGAGCGCCCGAGCUUAACGAGCUUCCAACGAGCCGAGCCGAGCAGGGUUAUCUGCUUGUUAAUCUUGACGAGCUGAGCCUUAAUGAUCACGAGCUUAACAAGUACGAGCUUAACGAGCCGAGCAGCUCGUUAAUCCACCUGACGCUGGUGACUAUAUGCAUGUAACCAACCAAGGAGCAUCUCAUCUCGCAGCUACUUUCAAUCUAAUCCGAUGAGGUGUGCCUAGUAGUUGAUUCUGAAGCAAGUGGAUGUACAUAUAGCACAUACUACUCUAUUAGAUAAAAGCAAGUUAAAUCUGAAUUGCACGUUCUUAGAGGCCGGAUCUCAUUGUGUGGCCCAUGUGGUGGACGGCAGGAAAAUAGAUGGAUGUCAGAUUCAUUAAAGGAAACUUUAGAUAGCUUCACCAGCCAGACUCUUUAUAUUUGAGUGUGUGCCCGCCACUUUAGUCCAUCCAUCCUCCAUUGUUAGCCAUAGUUACGCAGCAGCCAAAAAGCUAGCUAAACAUAGCCCUUCGGCAUGGGUUCCAACAAGAAGCGCAGCAGGAGUGCUGCGGCUCCCUGGUGUGUAGUCCUAGGCAUACUCCUGCUUGUCGUCGGGGCGGUGGCCAAGGACCUUGGCAACAUCUUCCAGGACUGCGAAUUUGAUUGCCAAGAUUUUGAUCCAUCCUCCGACUCCUACUUCAUGUGCAUGGCUGUGUGCGUAUUCGGCAAUGGCGCCGUUCAUCUGGCGACCGAUGGGGGCACAGAAAGAGAAGACCGCAAGAUGAAGCGAGAAGCUGGCGAAGACGACCCAUUCUCCUGCGAAGACCAUUGCCGUGAGGUAUUUGAGCCAGAUUCUGCCAAAUUCAGGAAGUGCAUGCGUAUCUGUCAGGCUUAACAUUACUAGCUAUAGUUUGUUGUUUCCAUUUUGCUUAUCUUGGCACCCCUUCUAUUUCACGUGUACAAGCCUUCCCUUCAGCAUCUUGUGUGUGUGUGUGUGUGUGUGGAUCUUUAGGAUCGUCGUGGCAGGCAUGUAUCUUUUCCCUUUGGAAAUAAAAAAGUUGCAAUAAUUUGCGGCACAAAAUCGUCCUAACGCCUUCUUUCUGUUCUCGUGGGUGCACUUCGGUUAUGUGGCCAUGCUUUAACACUAGCGCAGCAGAACCAGCAGCGGGUAGUCUAGAGCCAAUUGGAUUUCAUCAAUGAAUCGAUCAUAUCGAAGUCCUCUCUUUUGCUUGUAUCUUUUCCCGUUUUAUGGUUGAAUGCCAUAACCCAUAUGUCUAUGCAUAUGUAGUGUCCAAACAACCCAUACCUAACCUACUAAGAAUCAACUAAGUAUUACGGCAAGAACCGAACUUCUUUGCUAUAAUCCUAAACGGACAAUUAGUCCUAAUUGGAUUGGACCAUGAUGAAUGCUAUGAGUACGAGGGACACUACUGGCUAGGACAGCCUAAGACAAGAACUAAAGAGGGGCUCCGUGGCAACUUGCAGAGAAGUGGUGACCACAACACAUGAUUGACUCCGAUGGAGAUGCUCCCCCAUUACCCGGUCUCAAGCUGUGCGGUGAAAACCUAGGUCUGGCCCGAGGUGGUCUUACCUAGCAAUGGCGAUGCUUUUGCAUCGUUACCUUGUUGAAGGCAUUGCUCGGCUAUGCUCAGAAUUAUUCUUCAGGAUGAGAACCUAGACUCUGACUUUUGGUGGUGGGGCCGGCGACGGCCGCGCUUGAACGUCGCUCCCUUCCUGAAGGCAUUGCUGUUGAGCACCCUCGUUGUCCUUGUGGUGUCAUGAGAUGGUUCACGCGGAUAUGGUCAUUAUUCUAGUUUGUUGAUCGCAGAUUUGAUCGCUUCUUGGUUUUUCACUUUCUCUUGCUUAGGCAUAGUUUUCUAUGACUUUGUAUUUGCUGGCAGUUUUGUGUGUGUGUGUGUGUUGGUGUUCAUUGUAUGUAUCCUAGCUAUGCGGAGACAAGGUGUGUGCUCAUUUUACUUGUAUCCUCUUCAUGAUUCAUUUUAAGUAUUAAAAUCUACCAUUUGUCCCAAAAAAAAACACUUUAAAUUUACCGCACUGCUACACGAGGGUGAGCGCCGCUUGAUUGAAGAAAAUGUCUGUUUAGCUCAGCUUUUGCUCUUAGGGGAAGCUAGAUCCAUUGUAAGAGCACAAACAAUAAACAAAGGGAGCAAGUGGCACGCAUCCAGCCGGUCAAACAAUGAAGCUUGUACCGUAGUGAGCUUAAACAGUUCUUCUAAUCAAAUAUAGCAAGCAGUAGCUAUUAGAGUUUGAGGCAAGUAGACGUACAUAUACAUAAAUAGCAAGUUGAUGUCUGAUCCAUCUGUGCAGAUGCAUUGCACACCCGCAGAUGUCGGAUCGAUACCUCUUGCAUGGGCAGGUGGUGCUGGCCAUGGUAUGCUAGCUAAGAUGGAUCAGAUUCAUGAGACGAACCACUUUAUAUAUGUCUGUGUCCUCUUCUCCACAGCGCAUCAAUCCAGCUACACUGUCAGCUACACACCACGCACAGCAAGUCAGCUAAGAUGGAUCAGAUUCAUGAAGAAGACUUUGCAAAAGUUGUGACGUACAUUGCUUAGAAACCGGACCAUCCCCGAGGAAGAAUCGUGGUUUCGAGUGGGAACGGGUCUGGUUUGAAAGCGAUGCGACCGAUGCUUCGUCCGUUACCAUUUAUUUUUAUCCUGACUCUAUGUUUACGACUUAUUCAUGAAUAGGAUUGAAUUCCAUACAUUAGGGUGCCAAGAUUUGACCACCAACAUGUAGUUUUUUUGGGUUUUUAAUUAUGAAGAAAAACUCCCCAAAAUAUGAAACUUGGCAUGGAGUGAUCAUACAAUCCCUGUAGGGCAUGUUUAAAAAUUGAGAAGGUUUCAGUAAAUUUUUGAUGUAUAUUGCUUAGAAAGUGGACCAUCUCCGAUGAAGAAACAUGAUUUCAAGAGCGACGGGUUUGGUUUGAAGGCGAUGCGACUGAUGUUUCACCCAUUGGCACAGAUUUUUUUGUGUACACAGAAGAUACACCAUUACAUGAUUCAUGUCAAAAUUUAGCACUUUUCUAGCUCAUUUUGCUAUAUAAGCAUUAAGUGCAUGAAAAAUUUCAUAAAAUUGGAUUAAAAUAUGAAAAUUGUAUACUUGAGCCCAUCUUUAGGCCUUAUACAAAGAAAAUACAGGAAUUCCAAAAUGGGAGAGCCAAGAUUAGACCCUGAAAAUAGAUUUAUCUUUUUUUUAUUCCAAAAAUGCACAUGAAGUAAAAAAAAGAUGAAACAUGUCAAGUAGAAGAGAAUUAACCAAUGAUAUCCCUCUUAUCCCUCUUAUCACUCUUAUCAUCUCUUUCUUCGACAACUCACGCACCACCACGUCUGCCUCACUACUACUCCUCCACCGUUUGGCUUCCGGCAUGUAUAGAAGCUGAUCAUUUGAACUUGGCCUAUUCGGUGCCAUUAAUUUGCGCCAGUCUUCAGGUCACUUUUUUCUUUGCCCAGUGCACCUCAAUGUGGAUUUGGUAUGUGUGUGUGUUCUUGAGUGGCAUUGGUUGCUAUGCCGGAAACUGAGUAAUGUGUCGGCAAGUAGCAGAUCCACUUGAUCAAUAAUACGUGGUUGGUGUUGAAGCAGCUAGAUAUGACUAUGCACAUGGAAGCUCGUGCGUUCCACGCGCGCAGAUGCCAGAUCUGAGCUCAUAGUAACGAUAGACUCUCACUUGGGUAACCCAUCCGGUGGCCACCCUCUAUAUAUGUGAUGUGUGUAGUGCUCGUCUCAUCAGUCCAUCCAUCUUGCCUUGUUAGCUACAGCCUGCAACUAAUUAAGCAAUAGCCAGCCAGCCACUUAGCUAGCCAUGGGUAUGGGUUCCAAGAUGAAGCGCAGCAACGGCGUCACUGCUGUGUGGUGUGUAGCCCUAGGCCUAGCCAUGCUCGUGCUCAUGGCGGCGGCCAAGGACCCAAGCGAGUGCGAGUACUGCCGGCACGCGAUGGACAUGCCAUCCUGCGUAGUCUCAGCUCCGGCAACGUGGCCAACGAGCGUCAGGCGGUCCAUGGGGCGACACAAGGAGAAAAAUUAAGCGGAGAAGUCCCAUACUACUGUCGCUACAUCUGCGACGACAAGCAAGAUUACGCGUACUGCAUCAAAGGAUGCGUGGCGGUCUGUGAGAUGUACGGCGGGUGCUAGUCAGAACGCAAGUGGCCACAGGAGGUGAAGAGGCAAGAGGAGGAGGAGGAGGGGUGCAGCAGUUUGGGCUCCUCGCCAUGUCGAUGGAAGUGAAGAAGACGAGAAGAUGAAGCCGUCCGCCGGACAACAAUCCAUCCUGCUGCUUCUCUUAUGUGGAGUGCGUGCUUCGUUCUAAUAUCUAGUUUGUUAUUUUCCAUUUUCCUAGCUUGCCGAUCCUGUUUUCUCAAGUGUGACACUGCGGAUCUGUGUGUGCUGCCGCACUCUCAGGGUCGUCACCAUCACUUUCCCUUUCAGAAUAGAAGAAGUUUUAGCCAUUCUCUGCACACCGUUGGAAGUUUAGUGCCCAAAUUUUGGAACUUUUUUAAGAUGGAUUAGUAUUUGUAUGUAUUAACUGAUAUUUUGGCCACUAAAAAGGCAUAACGAUCUUCGGUUUCAAAUAACAUGCAAAUGAGUUCGGAAAAUGAUGAAACUUGACAUAGAGUCUCCGUAUGAUCUCUGUAGGGUAUGGUAAAAUUUUGAGAGGGUUACGACAAUAACUAGAUGCACUUCAUUUACAAACCGAACACUUUCCAGUGAAAUGACACGGUUUCAAACAGAAAGCCACUGCUUUCCACACACAACUCUAUUUUUUUUACAUCAGUUAGACUUUUUUAAAAACUCUGUGAUUAACACACAUCAUUGGAAUUCUCAUACUCAAACUUUGGUACUUUUUGAGUUGGUUCUCUAAUUUUAAGCGUUAAUUUAUUUUCAGGCCACUAAAAUGGACAAAAUGCUCAGUGGUUCCAUACAACGUUCAAAUGAGCUCGGAAAUACAUAUAACCUAGCAUGGUCUCUUAAUACGCACCCCGUACGGUCUAGGAAAAACUUCAGAACGUACGCCAACUUCUUGAGACUACUAAUCCUACAUGGAUACUAAUAAGUCCUAAAAUAUAGUGAACCAUGAUGCAUGCUGCGAGGGACCCUGCUAGCUAGGACCAACUAGCAAAAGAUCUAAACUGGCACUCUAUGGCAACUUUUCGUGCCUUGGCAUGACAAAUAAUAACCAGGUUUAAUACUAACUCAAGAUUGCAUGACAAAUAAUAAUCUGGCACACAGAUGCCACUGUUGUUGUGUCAUGCGUAGUCUUGGGCGUAGCCCUGCUUGUCGUCAGAGCCCAUGGGAGGAGGGAAGGAGAAAAGGCAAUCGGAGGAAUAGGUGCCCCACCUACCUGCCACGAACGCUGACGCAACGAGCCCAAGGAGGACAUUGACGCCUGCGUCAAACGGUGCCGGACUGGGAUAGAGGGAGAAGAAGCUAGAGGGGGAGGGCUUGGCGGAGGGAAGGGAGCAAGAGGUACAAGCAAGAGGAGGAGCAGGAGGAGGACCUGGGCUGCUGGUGAUGCUGACGGAGCACGCCGGACAGGAAGCCGCAGAGAAGAAGAAGCAAGCCGCCGCCGCCGCAGUUCAGUUGGGCUACGACCCAGAAUUCUGCUCCUUCAUGUGCCGCUACGUACAUGAAAAGGAGGACCGCCUCAGAAAGUGCGAGGCAGCAGGGCCAAAAGAAGCAAGAGGUUGAGGAGAGGACCUCCUCGCGUCGACGGCGGAGGGCAGGGAGCCAGAAGAAGAGAAGAGGGAGAAAGAGGGUGCAUUGUCAGCGAUGGGCCCCAAUGGCAUGCACGCGUUCAUGGAGGCGCCGGACAAGGUGUUGCUGGACACAUUCUCGUCCCAACACCAGAGCGCCCUGGUGAUGGCGAUACUGGACCUCCUCUCUUCGCACUCAUCGGGGGCAGGAGUACUUGGGCAUGUACCAAGAGCCGCGUGGCGACAUAAUGGCAAGAUCAACAACGCGUUCGAGGAGUUCACGGAAAGGAUGUUGAGGAUCGAGGUCCAGGUCAACAAGUGGAACAGCGACCCCUAGCGGAGAAAACGGUAUGGUCCUGAUAUUGUGCCGUAUGUGCAGCUAAGGCGAUCGGACGGUGAUCCUAUGGGUGCCAAAACGGUGAUGGGGAUGGGUGUUCCAACAAGCAUCUCCAUUUGACGAGAAUAUAUAUUACUCCCUCCAUUUACUUAUACAGGGCCACUAUAAAAUAUACAUUUUGCAUCUAGACAAUGCCACGAACAGUAAUCGAUGCAAAAAUUAAUGAUGUUUUCUCGUACUAGCAACUUGUUUAAUACUUGCAUGCAUGCAGUCAUAGUGACACUUAGCUACUUCCUUCACUCGGUUUUCUUGCAUGCAUGAAGUGUAUUAAUGAUCCCAGUAAACGAAAAAGAAAAAGAUACUCCCUCUGCCUCGGUGUACAAGUCAUUCGUGUAGUUCUAGGUCAUCGAUUUGACGAAUUAAAUAUGUGUUAUAUGUCAUGAAAAGUAUAUCGCUAGAUUUUUAUACGGAUGUAGUUUUUCUCACAUAAAAUACAUAUUUAGAUAGUUAAAGUGUCGACCAAAAACUACGUGAAUGACUUAUACACCAAGACGGACGUAGUAUAUUGUAAAACAUGUAUUAAAUUUUGCCUUGGUACCUGUAAUUUGAGUUUAUGACCUGGUAUAUGAAAAUGGAGAGAGUAUCUUUUUCAUCGGUUGAAUGUAAUCAAGUAAAAAAUGACUUGCACUUCAAGUGCCACAACUUAAACUCAUGCGACAUGACCUCCACCAUAAGACUAAUGUUGCGAACCAACCUGUGGUUGGAUGGUUAGCGGGACAGUGAUAUCCCCAGCCGACCAGGGCUCAUGUUCUGGUGCUCGCAUUAUUCCUCGAUUUAUUUCAGGAUUUCUGCCGAUGCGCUUUCGGUGGAACGAGACGUUCCUGUUGACGACGAGGCGCCUACGGUCACUUCGCAAAUCUCAAGAUGAUAUGCCGGCUCAGUUUCUCGAAGGUGCUCAUACGGGUAUGAUGUGCGUGUGCGCGUUCAUAGGGGUGAGUGUAUGCGCAUAUGUAUGAGCGCUUGCGUCUAUACUGUGUUCAAAAGAAUAAUAAGACCAGUAUUGAAUACAUUUCCAACUCAUUUUAAUUUCACAGUUUCAAUCAUACUUUAUAUAGCUCAAAAUUUAUCCUUAUGUUGUAAAUAAUGAAAUAAUUGAAAUCAUCAUUUUGCAAUAAAUCAAAUCCAGUACUUUUUUGAAAAUAAUUGAAAUUAGUUUUGCUAAAGACGAAUCAUUUUGAAUCAAACUCUAGUGAAAUAACUGAAAUCACUAUUCUGAAUAAUAGAAGUCCACCAUUGUGGAAUAGAAGUCACUUUUUCAAAUGUGGAAUCUUUCUAAAAAAUAUUUGAAACAACCUUUUUUAAAAUAAUUGAAAUAUAACUAGUGGAGAAAAUGAAAUUACUUUGCUUAUAUAGUCAAAAUCCUACUUUCUUUGCUCCUAACAGAUAUCAACAAGCGGGAAAAAAAAUCCUGCAGGAGCGACACCAAUCUUCCCUUGGCACCUCAUAUGAUUUUGACUCGCCGGCUCGUAGAACCAAGCUUAAAAGGACAAGUGGUGGAAGGCUACUUCGGCCACUUGGGCCUAAACGGGGUGGCCCCCUUCUUCCCAUGGAAAGGGGAAGGGGAGGCCGAAUUGGAGGGGGCUUCCCCCCUCCUUGGCCAGCCAAAGGGGGAGGGAUUCCUUUCCCUUGUGGCGCCCACUCCCCCCUCCCUCGAACCUAUAUAUACUAGAGAAUCUGGCACUUCGAACACACAAGUUUUGUAGCCUCCUCUAGUUCUCUAGUUCUAGUUAUAGUUGGUCCUAGUUGAUCAAUUAAAGCUUGACCUAGACCCUCUAAUCCACAUAUUUAGAAGCCAGUGAGGUUCUAAUAAUAUGUGAACGCUAAUGGAAGUCUGUGCGAGAUGGCUUGGUGUAUCGGCUGCACCUGCUCGUAUAUUGGUGCUAUCGUCGACCGAUGAAUGGUUGAUCAAUUAAAGCUUGACCUAGACCCUCUAAUCCUCAUAAUUAGAAUCCAGUGAGGUUCUAAUCAUAUGCGAACGCUAAUGGAAGUCUGUGCGAGAUGGCUUGGUGUAUCGGCUACACCUACUCUCAUUGACGCUCAGUAUUGCCGCUGCCGACGACAAUGCUCAUAUGGUCGGUGAUCUAUGCCUAUGGGUCUAUUCCUAUUGCUUCUCCAUUGUCAGCUUGAGCACCUUGAUAUGGGCUCUAGUGGGAACAACUUUGCUGGCCACCAGUGCGGCACACAUCAAGUGUGGGUGAAAGGGUUAUGGCCCUUUGCAGAGACGGACACAGAUUGUGUGUUGCUCGAGUUUUUGGCCCUUUGGAUGUAGGCGGCCGCAUGAGGCUUGGAUGGUGGUGCCUUCCUCCCAAGACCUUAGUUUGUUAGUUCUUGUUGGCGCAACGUUGACCUUGGCAACAGUGCCAUGUGGCUUUGCUCAUUGUUAUUCUUGCGUUUGGGUUGCUGUGUUUAACUCCUUGUAUUUGUUUUCCCCACUUUGCUUUUUAUUUUCUCUGUACUGUGUCUCCCUUGUAGUUCUGGCUGGUUUAUAACUAUGUUUCACGUGCAUGAUACUAGCUACGAUAUUCGCAUUACAGGCAGCCUUAUCCAGCUAUAGAAACGCAUCCACUACACUAACAAACACAGAUAUACAAACAUAACCAUUACACUAACAAACACGGGGCGCAACCGCGCAGGUGGCAUCAGCAACAUUCAUUUACGGCGUGUGAGCUCGCGUGAAUAUUCGCGGAUUUACGCGAUUUGAUAUGCGAAUUAAUAUUUUGGACACUUGGCGCUGCCUGGCUCCCUUGUAUUUUUGUUCUUUAUACUUCCAGAUAUUGUAUAUAAAUAUAUUACACAAAACACUCUACGUAAAAACAUUUCAAAACAAAAUAUUAACCAAACAUUUAAAAAGCUUAGCAACUACUCUGUCCAAUGCAUUGGUGUUUAGCUUUUGUAGCUAAACAUUGCAUUGCGGUGCGUUGUGCUAUUAUCUAAGUUACUCCUGCUAUAAGCAGCCUUACUCUUAUCUAGCUAUACAAAUUCAUAUGAUGCACUAACAAACACGGGGGGCAAGAGGCAUCUGCAACAUGCGGGCGGUCAAACAAGGACGCUCAUACGUGCUGAUCGAUCUAGACACCGCAACAAUUGCCCAUGCACGCAAACAUUUAUUUAAUCUAAUGAUCUAGCAAGUUGUACUGUACGUAGUUGAUUUUCAAGCAAGUAGAUAUGUGAUCCCUGCAGCUAUGCACAUGCAUGGCACGCACGCAGAUGCCGGAUCGGAUCAGAUUGGAUCGACACCGGCAAGAAGAUUCCUCCCAACCCAGCUCGCUGGCUUCACUGGCCUAUUUAUAUAUCGGUGUGCCCAUCUACUCAAUCCAUCCGUCCUGGGUAGGGUUGUGAGCCGUAGCAAAUUAGUUCAACACCAACCAGCUAGCCAUGGGUAUGUGUUCCAACAAGAAGCGCAGCAGCCCUGGCGUUGCUGUGUGGUGUGUAGUCCUGGGCUUAGCCCUGCUCGUCGCCGUCGAUGCGGCGGGCAAGGAAGGUGGUGGGCGAGCCGGGCACUUGGCUGAAGAGCAUGGGGAUGCAGCCUACUGCUCCGCGUUGUGCAACGGGCGGUCGGACUUCGGACCGUGCUACAAUGAGUGCUUGUACGGGAGGUAGGUAAUACUGCUUUGCCUUUGUUCGUCAUGAGCUCAGCUAGCUCGUUUGCUUUUCAACUAAAAAUGACGGUCAAGCUGUGACCUGUGAGCUUCAUGUGUCGCCAGGGAUCAGUUUUGUUUCGUUUAGUUCUGAUAGCUACAAACAAAUGUUGUUUGGUGGCCCACAGGGUGACAGGACAAGAACAAGCGAGAGGAGGUGGUGGAGUUGUAGGGCGAGCUGGACUCCUGGCGAUGCCGACGGAGCGCACCGGAGGCGAGGGAGAAGAGAAGGGGAAGCAAGAGGACCCCGUCGUCCGUCUGAGCGACCCAGUCUGGUGCUACGACGCCUGCCGUGAGCAUCCAGAAUUGGACUACACCCAAUGCGUCAAUGAUUGCUACGCAGAGAAUAUGCCGGACGCCGCACGGCUAGCGGCCCAUGGAGGAACUGGAGGAGAAGAAGCAAGAGGAGGAGCUGUUGAUGGGCUGACGGCGGUGGGGAAACCACACUGCGACUGGUUCCGCGACUGUAGUGUAACGCCAUGCGUCUGGCGAUGUGGCAAGAGGGCCCAAGAGGAGGACAAUGAAGGAACAAGAACAGGAGCGCUCAAUGUCCAGGCGGCUGCGCGGCAUGAGGUUGCUGUAGGAGCAUGUUCGUCGACUGUGUACGUGGAAUCAUGCUAUGCCUGUUGCCAAAGGGAGGUCACUAGAAAUCCGGAUUUCGACUGGUAUGCUUGCAUUCGCAGUUGCCACGACUAAGAUGCUCUCCCAAUCAAGGAGCGAGAGAACAAGAAGGCCGGCGAAGUAGUCGUUUGUUGUGAGCUUAUACUAGCUCGUUUCCUUUCCAAACAAAUAAUGUGCGGUGCAGUGAAUCCGUCACAGUCCAUCUGUUUGCUUUAGUUCUGUUACCUACACCUUUAUUUACAAUGGAGUUGCAGAAUGCUAUACAUGCCGUGCUGCUACGGUUCAUGCAUGUAGGUCUCUCGAGGUGGCUAUGAAUAAUGGGCAAGCUCUAGGCUACCAUGUGUGCGGAACCAAGCCUUGUCAUUGGUUGUAGUGCUUGCACUAACUGAAAGUUUUUUUCUUCGAAACGAGCAAGCUUCCAGUGAAGACAGCACAUUAGUAUUGCUAGGCGGACCCAUCCGAAGAUUGUACCACCAUCCAUGGCGGGUGAAGGCUGCCUGCUAUUCCCGACGACGCACGAAAUCAGUGUCGAUCAAGGAAUAAUAUACACUACUACUCCCUCCGUUCUUGCAAGAGUGUACUUCCAACUUUGUUGAAAGUUUGACCGAGUUAUGUAAAAAUAUAUAGAUGUUUGUGAAAUCACCUAGGCAUAUCAUGAAAAUAUAUUUUAUCAUGAAUCUAAUGCUACUAAUUUGAUUGCAUAAUUGUUGAUGUAUUAUUGUAUAAAUACAGUCAAAUAUAAAAAAGUUUGACAUUACAAUAAAGUUGGAAGUACACUAUUUUAAGGACGGAGAGAGUAAGUAAGAACAAGUUGAUUCUAAAUUUUUCGUGCACAGAGGUUGGAUAUUAUGACUUGGGCCAUGUGUUGGAACGGGUAGUCUAGAUGCGACGUGUUCCCCGUUCCUGCCCACCCAUCCUCCAUGAAAAUGAUGGAUCGACUCCAUACAAUAGGUCCAUUAUUUGAGUAUAUAAAAUACUACUCCAUUCGGCAUUGUUAAUUUCUUUGUACCCCUGAUUUAUUUCUACAAUACGCAAGCAUACUUUUACUCCGGUGCUAAUUAACAGUCAAAGUGCAACCCUCGAUUGAAGCAAGUGGCUAUUUAGUGAGUGCUUCUACUACAGCAAAAAUGCUACACCUCCGUGGCUUAUGAACUUAAAAAGGCUAUUUUCUUUUCUUUCCCGACGAAUCAUCCCCCAUGAAUUUCACGGGGUGGGCCUGGGACUUUUUCUCUUCCAAUCCAAUUAGGCCUGAUCAGCUCAUUCCUAACUUUACGUAGUUUCUUUACGUACGUGUAGCAAAGCUCCGUGCUUCUAGGGGUGGGCAAAACAGUAAAAGUACAAACAACAAACAAGUGGAACAAUCUCGUGUCAGUAUAAUAUUGACGGAAGCUUAGCUAGUUUAACCAGACAGCUAGUUUAACCAGACAGCCUCUUUAUAUGUGUGGGUGUGCCCAUCUCGUCAAUCCAUCCAUCUUGGCACCAGCCAGCCACUUAGCUAGCUAGCCAUGACCAUGGGUUUCAAGAAGGGCAGAAGCAGCAGCGGCGGUGUUGUUCUGUCGUGCGUAUUCCUAGGCCUAGCGCUGCUUCUCGUGGUGGCGGAGGCACGCGACUGCACGCCCUGCAAGGACAUACCGGUCAUCUCAUCGCGCAAUGGUGCUGUGCUUCCGGUGGAGAAUGAGGCAAGAGAAGGGCAAGGAGCAAGCGGAGGACAUGCGCUAUAGGCAGUGCCGGCUGAGGGGCCGAAGAAGACCACGCUCAUGGCUAGCUGCUAUCAGCAAUGCAUUGCUUAUAUCCACUACCCAUAUAUUUUCGAUUCUUGCAUGAGUCAGUGCUACCCAACCGCCGGAAUCGUCAGCGUCUUGGGGGAGGCCAAAAAGAUGAGGAAGACGAAGCAGCAGCAGCAGCAAGAGGAAGCAAGAGGAGGAGGAUUUGCUGUGCUGGCCAUGCCAACUGAGCAUGCCGGACAGGAAUAAGAAUGGAAGCGGAAGAGGAUGCCGCUAAUUAGGUUCCUGGUGGAUUCCCAUGGAUGAUCUCACUAAAUAGGUGAUUGAUCUUUCUCAGCUGCCUGUUGUAAGGUUAUUAUCAUAUUUGAAUCAUUUCGUCAUUUUCCGGUUCCCCGUUGAUCCCUUUGUUUUUCGUUGGGCAAAAAAGAAGCAGUAGUUGUUAUGAUGUGUCGUUUGGUGGCUUUGGCAAACUAUUUGUGGUUUUCAAUGGUUUAACUCAAAAAAUAAGAUAAACUCUAAAUGAGCCUUGUAACCCGAUCUAUCCAGAGGGAGUACUCCGUAUCUUUGGAGCCUGCUGCACGUACAUCCAAAGUCUCUACCGUUAUUUUUUUGACUCGUCUUUUUCCCGACAAAGCGUGAAUUUUAUUCACUCAUAACGAAACAUUGUAGGGAUAGAAACACAAUGAGUACAUACCCGGCUUCUACUUAGCGAGGAUGCUCACAACUAACACCAACACACGCAAAAGAAACCGCCGACAAAGAGCAAAGUCGUACAAGACCAAUGCUAUGCCUAUGUGAGGAUAAAGAAAAAAAGACAAGGUGAUCAAAACUGCGAUUCGACAAACUACAGAUAGACCAUUUGCAUUGUCUAUGGGAGGGCCACAUGGAGGUCGCACGGAAUGUCCGAAAUUCUCGCGCUUGGUCCAUGUCUAUGCAUCUACCUCUAUUUAUUUUUUGGGUUGUCUAUGUCUAUAUGUACCUUCAACACUCGAACAGGUACAACACCUUCAAGACAACCAUUUGCAUUAACGGGACACUAUGAGGGACCCAUGGAAGAAGGAGCCGGCAACCACGGACCAGCAUAAAUAGUUCUAUUAACUUGUUCUUAGCAAUGGAAAAUCAUGGAAGGAAAAGUAGCCAGCGGGCCGGUGGUAUUAACUUCUUUGUAACCGCGAUUUAUUUGUACGCAAUAUGUAUGAACACUACUACCCGCGUGGUAAUUAAAACACGAAACGCUGGACGGUGACGAGGUUCACUUGAUUGAAAUAAGUGGCUAUUUAGCGUGUGCUUUCAAGCCAUCUAGGGGAGGCUAGACCCAAGGCAAAAUCACUGUCAAGACUUAAUUAAUAGUAAAAGUUAAGGGGAAAAUCUCCGCUUGUAUAAACGACAUAUGAAUACCACCUCUCGCUAGCCGUUGCAUCUCUCUCUCUCUCUCUCUCUCUCUCUCUGUGUGUGGUAACAGUAGCAUCUUUUAGAUGCGCCUCUUCCAGGACAAUAUAAUGUAAUCUAGUUGAGUUUGUAGCAUUAGAUAUGUAACAUAAAAGCAACUUGAUAUGGUUCAGCUGUGCACAUGUAUCUACUGCACAAAAGACAAACAAGAGUAGCUAGUGUCACACAUGUAUCGACACAUCGCUCUAAUUGUCAGUACCUACUUAAUUUGGAAGCAAGUGCUUAUAUAUACACAUAAAUAGGAAGUUGAUAUGUGAUGCAACCAUUCACAUGCAUCUGCCGCAGUGUGUCCCUAGCAGAGGAGGAGUGCAUCGCGUGCACCAUGUGAUUCACCCAUCUACAGAAAUUAUCGAGAUCUUUCAUCUUAAUAGUCGUAAAGCCGACAUCAAAUUAAUCAGUCUUUUCUUUUCUUUGGCAUCAUAGAGCAAUGAUGAUUUUUUGGUGUAUACACCUUAAAUAUUUACUAUGUACUAAUUUUUAUAAUUUUUAUACUACCUGUCCUAGUCCCCAUAUCACCAAUUCUGGCUACGUCCCUGGCAGCAGUUGUUGCGGUGGUUGGUGGGCUUAGUUCCGAUCGAUAUGGCCGGAGAUAGCUCACCGGUGUGGGUUUGGUGUAGUUGGCUGUGGUGGUUCAUGUAUGUAUCACUACAGGAAAAACAUACUAGGACAUUGUUCAAAUCAUCUGGUGAAGGUCGAACUCACCUCGGCAAUAGCUUUGCCUGGUGUGACACUCGGCCUAUGGUCUGUCGGCAUACGGACGCUAGCCGACUGUCUUAUGUCGGGGGCUCGGCAUACAAAUAUGCCGAUGUGAAAUAAUGCCACCGCUCUGUAAGGAUGCCAUGCUAGAGCAGGCUGUCGAAGGCAUACUCCGGCAGCAUUUCCCCUUGGAAGGCGUGGAUGGCACGUACGAAAGCUGACGUGCCUAUGAGAGGGACUGGCGCCAUCGGAACACCACCAUCGUUGUCCCUUUCUGAAGAAAAAAGAUGCACCUAAUUUGCGGCACAUAAUCCACCCAUCGGGUCAUCCUGUACUUGGUGUGGCCAUGCUUAAAUACUGGAGCUGCAGAACGAGUAGCGGGUAAGCGGGAGCCCUUUAGAUUUCAUCGAGGAAACAAGCAUAUCAAAAAUAUACAAACACAUGCAAAACUUUAGCCAAGUGAACGUGUAACGCCCCUCUUUUUCUUGAUUUAUUUCUCUCAGUUUAUGGCGUUGCAACUUACAACGGAUACUACACAUACCUAAUAUACACAGAUUAGGACUCAACUAACUAGUACGGCAAGAACCCAACUUCUUGAGGCUACUAAUCCAACAUGGAUACCAAGUGCUAAAUGUAGUGAACCAUGAUGGAUGCUACGAGGGACACUACUGGCUAGGACCAACUAGCGUGCACAAGAACUAAUCUGGGACUCCUGUCAGCUUGCCAAAACAUGGCACGGCAAAUAAUAACCAAAUAUAACACUAAGUUAGAUUACUUGCUAACAGUCCCUUGACUCGUCUUCUUGUACUCUCUAUGGUCUUCAUUCAGUUGGGGAUUCAUGGCUUGUCGAGUCGUCAGCUGAAGAUACAGGUGCUCCUCGACUACCAGCCCACACAUCCACAUAUUAGCAUGCUAUAUGGAGAAACAGACAGCCUCAAGCAAGUACUCAACCAAGUUGUCGCGUGUUCAUAUUCAUGUUGGCCAGCAUCUUUUCGACCAGACACAGUCAAAUAUACACCUCCCCGGACUAGCCCUCCAACCUUGGCACACUUUAGCUCAUCACCCAACACAUCUUCUCUUUGUUGUCAGUGAGAUUACUUACUGUACGACAAUACAUGUCUAGCAUCGAUCAACACAACUCACCAUAUUGUUAAGCAUCGAAAGUCACUCUUUGCAUCACUAGGUGUUCAUUUAACUGAGCUUUUGCUUUUAGGGGAAGCUCGAUGCACGGAAAAAGCACAAACAAUAAACAAGGGGAGCAUGUGGCGCGCAUCCAGGCGGUCAAACAAUGAAGCUUGUACCGUAGUGGGCUUAAACUGUUCUACUUCCAAAGAAAUCGUGCAAGUAGUAGCUAGUUAGCUUUGAAGCAAGUAGACAUACAUAUACAUAAAGAACAAGUUGAUGUCUGAUCCAUCUGCUCACAUGAAUUGCACGCGCGCAGAUGGCGGAUCGAUACCUCUUGCGUGGCCCAUGUGGUGGUGGCCACGGGAUACUAGCUAAGAUGGAUCAGAUUCAUGAGCAGAACCUUUAGGUAGCUUCACCGGCCGGCCUCUUUAUAUAUCUGUGUGUCCCCGUCUCCUCAACCCAUCCAUCCAGCUACACAGUUAGCUACACACACCACAAAGCUAGUUAGCUAAGCAGCAGCCAGCCACCUAGCUAGCUAUGGGUAUGGGUUCCAAUAAGAGAAGCAGCGCCACCGUUGUUGUGUCGUGCGUAGUCUUAGGCGUAGCCCUGCUCGUCGUCGGAGCCCACGGGAGGAGAGAAGGAGAAAAGGAAAUCGGAGGAAUAGCUGCCCCACCUACCUGCUACGAGCGCUGCCGCCAUGAGCCCAAGGAGGACAUCGACGCCUGCGUCAAACGGUGCCGGAGUGGGAUAGAAGGAGAAGAAGCAAGAGGGGGAGGACUUGGGCUCUUGGCGGGUCCGACGGAGGGAAGGGAGCAAGAGGUAGAAGCAAGAGGAGGAGGAGCUGGGCUACUGGCGAUGCCGACGGAGCGCGCCGGACGGGACGACGAAGAGAAAAAGAAGCAAGUGGACGCCGCCCCAGUCCAGCUGGGUUACGACCCAGAAUUCUGCUCCUUCAUGUGCCGCCACAUACAUGACAAGGGGGACUGCCUCCAAAAGUGCGAGGCAGCGCCAAACGAAGCUAGAGGGUGAUAAGUCGGUCCCCUGGCACCGACGGAGGAGGGUGCUGCCUCCUGCACCGGACUACAUCGUUUGCUUUCCUAACAAGAUGUUAAUUAGGUCAUCAAUCUUGUACGUUGUUAUCAUGGAUGUCGAGUACUUCCAUUUUCCCCAUAUCCAUGUGUGAGCACACGAUCUUCUGUGUGUGCCACACUUUUGAAGCCACCGUCGUUUUCCAUUUUGAAAUAAAAGGAGGUGACAUAAGGAAACUGCAGGUAUAUGUUGCCAAUAUGUUCGACAACUGGUUUUGUGUCAUCGAUUGUGAAGUGAUACAAAAGAAGAUGUUUAAGCGCUGAUCAUACAACUGAAUUUGUUUUAGCAUUAAGUGCAUACAUGAGAGCGUAAGACAGAGGAGUAAACUUUUUUUAGCUAGCUUGUUGAUGGAAGCAAAGCAAGUGGAUAUAUAUGUAUCAAACCUGGGCAUCAAUCUACGAGAUGCCAUGAGCUCAAACUAGCAUCAAUGCAUGACAGUGCAUAUAUCGCGCCUGUACUCAUGCUUCAAUGAUAUUUGUAGGACACGUAGAAGAUUUCCAACAUAUCACCAUAGCCAUUGAUCCAGACUAGAAACUUUAACAUCCACCCAUCCUCCCGCUGUAGCCAUAUAUCCAUAGUGCCGUACCAGCUUGGAUGUAAAAUGGACGUAAGCCAGCUCGCGGUGCAAAAAUGUAUUGAUGUGGGCCCUCUUGUUCGUCGUUUAGUUUUAGUUUUGCAGAUGAUCAUAUUUUUGAUAUAAAUUUGGUCAAACUUUGUGUAGUUUGACUUUGGCCAAAUUUAUACGCGAAGUAAAAAGAAACAGAGGGAGUAAGUACGUAUGAAAGAACACACUUCCAUAACGCACAAAAAAACAUGCUUAUAAAAACAUGAACCAAACUAAAUAGCUCAUCAAGCUCGAAAUCGAAUUCAAGCUCACAUGUUUUCUGAUUUUCUGUUGGUCAAAUUAACACAUACACUACUCUACUGUAUAAUUUAUACGAUAUGUAUGAACAAUUUUACUCGAUAUUUUUGGAAAACUUUUACCCCGUACUAAUCAACACAUGAAAAUGCUACACGGCAAUGAGCUAGGCUUGAUUGAAGCAAGUGGCCAUUUAGGUAAGUUUGCUGGAUCCAAGGCAAAAGCACAAACAACAAACAAGUGCAGCAAGUGGUGCGGUCAAACAAGGUUACAGCCAAUUCAUUCCAGAAGCGUAGUUGUCGGAUCUGCUCUGAAGCUAGCGCAUUGGAUCCAUAAGCAGUGCCGCCCACUAGCUAGUGACACGAGACUCUUUAUAUAUGUGUGUGUGCCGAUCUUACCAAUCCAUCAGCAUCCAGCGUCGUUAGCUAUAGCCAAUUAGUUCAGCAGAAGCAAGCCAGCUACCGAGCUAGCCAUGGGUAUGGGCUCCAGAGAGAAGCGUAGUGGUGGGAGCUCUGUUUUUCCGUGGGUAGUCCUAGGUCUAGCCCUGCUCCUUAUUGUGGCGACAGCCAACGACCUAGUCGAGAUCGUCAAUUCCUGCGAACCCAAGUGCGGCGAGUAAUUUGAUUCAUCAUCCGACUCCUAUGUGGGGUGCUUGUUCGGCUGCGAACUUGUCUUCAGCAACAGCAUGCGUCUGCCAGCCUAUGGGGACACUAGAGGUGAAGGAGGCAAGAAGAUAAAGCAAGGGAUCAAGGCCGUCCACCUGUUUUCCAACUCACAGUGCGACGAGCAAUGCAGCCAAGCAUAUGAUCGAUCCUCCUCCUCCUACUCGCAGUGCAUGACUAUCUGCAGUAUGAUUUAAGAUUGCUAGCUAGUUUGUAAUUUCCAUUUUUCUAAGCAUGCCGACCCUCGUAAUUUCCCGUGUGUAUCCGCAAAUUUGUGUGUGUGCCAUGCUUUUCAGGCCACUGUUGUCUCCUUAUUUGUAAUAAAAAGCUCCAGAGGAAAGCUGUAUAUACAGCACAAAAUCCACGUGAUUUCUUUUAUCUUCCCAUGCAUUGGUAUGAGAGACCUUUGGUUAUAUGGACAUGGCCAAGGAAGUUUAUCCAGAAAAAAAAAGAGUGAUGCCUUCUGGUUAGGACGACACCUUCUUAGUACUAGCCGGGCGAGAUGGGGGAGAAGCAGAAACGAUGACCUCUAGCUUGGGACUGUCGGCAACAUCUCAAGGGAUGUCAUCUCUACCCUACUGUGUGAAGGAAACAUGACUUGUUUCCGAUGGGACGAAAAAAUCUUUGUAAUACUUCGUCACGUAAGCUUUUAAGUGAGGGUCGACUUUACUGACCCAAUCAUUUUGAUGAUACACUUUUAUGAUACUUCCUAUUGGCCAUGGUAUGAAAUACUUGGUGUUAUUAUCACCUUAUACACGGUUCUUCACAUGAAACAUUGAUACCAUUAACUCUUUUUUACAUUUGACCUGGUCACCACUCAUUCGUUCAAGCCCGAUGUUGUUGAAGUACAAAUGAAACAAUGACUACUUGUUCAUGACCAAAUGUAUGUGUAUACUGCAUAUAUGAUGAACAUUUGAUGGAGAUCAGUUUACCUGGUUUUACUUCCCGUCAAUGUAAAACAUGAUACUUUUUUCUAAAACAACAUGAUUACAUGGAAGAAUACUGGUAAGAACAGUUCUCCACCACAGACUGGUCGGUGCGCUAGCUCUAUGUGAGCAAGGAACAUUGAUCGUGCAACAAUUAAGGGUAGGCAAGAAUUAGCGAUGUAGUAGGACAGUGCCUAGUUUAUUUUGAAGCAUGUGGAUAGUAUUAUGCACAUGGAUAUGGAGCACGGUGUCUCCCUAAUAGAGGAUGAUCACAUGGAAGCUUGUGCAUUGCACGCUCCCAGAUGCCGGAUCUUGUCUGAAGCUAGAUUGAUUAGAUUCAUAUAGGAACAUAUAGCUAACUUCACCCCUCUUAUUUGUGCAUGUCUCGUCAGUCCAUCUGUCCUAGCAAAGUUUUGGCUUACACAGCUAUUUUGACUGUCGUUAAGAGAUUGCGCUAGCUGCAAAAUGACAAAAAGAUGUUAAAUUAUUCAAAACUAGAUGUGUAUCAUUUUUAUCAUGUUUCAGUUGCUUAUAUGGGUUACUGUCACAUGAUUGAUAUGUAUGGUUUAUCCAUGUUAUCAUUUCCUCUGUGCCAAACUGCAAAUUAACAAACAAACAAAUACUGGACGAUGUGUGUGGACACUUAUUAUUACAAAAAGUUGCGGAAGCAUACUUUUACCCAUGUCCUAGGCUCCUAGCUAACGCUCGAAAUGGUCGGCGACGNNNNNNNNNNNNNNNNNNNNNNNNNNNNNNNNNNNNNNNNNNNNNNNNNNNNNNNNNNNNNNNNNNNNNNNNNNNNNNNNNNNNNNNNNNNNNNNNNNNNNNNNNNNNNNNNNNNNNNNNNNNNNNNNNNNNNNNNNNNNNNNNNNNNNNNNNNNNNNNNNNNNNNNNNNNNNNNNNNNNNNNNNNNNNNNNNNNNNNNNNNNNNNNNNNNNNNNNNNNNNNNNNNNNNNNNNNNNNNNNNNNNNNNNNNNNNNNNNNNNNNNNNNNNNNNNNNNNNNNNNNNNNNNNNNNNNNNNNNNNNNNNNNNNNNNNNNNNNNNNNNNNNNNNNNNNNNNNNNNNNNNNNNNNNNNNNNNNNNNNNNNNNNNNNNNNNNNNNNNNNNNNNNNNNNNNNNNNNNNNNNNNNNNNNNNNNNNNNNNNNNNNNNNNNNNNNNNNNNNNNNNNNNNAUCCCUUCCGGACUCUUAAAUUGCGGCCAAUAAACAAGGUGAGCAGGUGGCGUGAAUGCAGCUGAUCCACGUAUCGUCUUAAAUUGCGCGAUCUGGUCAAACAAGGAAGAUUGCACGCAUUAAUUGUCUCAUGGGCGCAAACAGUUGUUUAGGUUUUUCUUUCAGAGGGGCACAACUCUGGCCUCUUAAUCCACCAUGUAGUAGUAGUACACGAAGGGGAAGUUGAAUACAAUCUGAUCCAUCGAUGCACAUGCAUUCCACGCAAGCAGAAGUUGGAUCCAUAAGUUUCGCGUGGCCCUUGUGUUGGUGGCCGACAGGAUUUGAUGGAUCGGAUUCAUCACAGGCUUUAGCUAGCUCCACGGCCCUCUUAUAUAUGUGUGCCUCCCUCUCCUCAAUCCCUCCAUCCAGCAAGUUACAUUGUUGGUUACUACACAGCCAGCCACCUAGCUAGCCAGCCAUGGGUAUGGGUUCCAAGAUGAAGCGUAGCAGCAGCGGCAACCUUGUUAUGUCAUGCGUAGUCCUUUCCCUAGCCCUGCUCGUCGUCAGGGCAGCGGCGGUGGCGAGGAACAGCCCAGACUCCUGCUGCAAGGAGCAGUGUAGCGGCCGUCAGGACUACAAACCUUGCCACGCCGCGUGCUGGUGGGGCAUGCAUCUGAGAGACCUGCCAAACUGCCACCUGCGCUGCCGCUACGCGAAACACUACGACACAUGCUUCGAACAGUGCAAAAAAGAACAAGAAGGAAGUGGGGGAAGAGUUGGGCUACUUGCGGCACCGGCAGAGGGACAAAACCAAGGAGAAGAAGCCAAACCAGGAGGAGCAGCUGGGCUCCUGGAGAUGCCAACGGAGCUUGCCGGAUGAGGAGAAGAAGAGAGGAGGAGGGCAGAGGACUUGCGACUGAGACUAUGAUCCCUCCUCCUUCUGUUGCCAGGACUGCAUGAUCUGACGCCAUAUAUACUUUUUUUGUUUUUUUCCUAGCUCACCGAUCCUCUUGUUCUGGGUGUGAGCCUGCAACCCUGUGCGUCUGCCACACUCUUAAGAUCGCCACGAUGUGCUGCUAAAACACCACGAACCGUGGCGACUAAGGCCACCAUCAUUUUCCCUUUCAGAAUAAAAGGAGUUUUAGGUUUUACCCAUGGAUCGUUUACGCAAACGUACAUGGACAGAAUUUCUUUGGCCAAAGGAACGUAUGGUGCCUCUCUUUACUCUUUAUUUUCUAUUCUAUUCGCUAUUAGUGUCAAAGGUAGGUAGUUUCGUUUGCGUUUUAUCGUGCACUUGAGUUGUCACGAGUCCCUCAAGCAUGGUCAGGUUGAAACGUUUUCUGCAAAAUUCUGAAUCAAGUAGUCCAUUGAACAGGGAGAUUAAUUAGCCGAGGAAAGAGGAUGACUAAAAUUGUUAGGAAGUCCUUUAUUUAUCCACCUACAUGAUAUUAUUGUUAAUAGAAGCAAAUUCAAAGAGAAGGUUCCGAAUCGAAAAUCUUUCUCAAAUAUAAGUUUGAUAUUCAACAACUUGUGUAUAAUUAAUUAGCUACAGGGUCAAGGCCGAGCCCAAGAAAAGCAUGGAAUGGGAAUGUAAGACUAGUGGCAGGCCUGGAACUCCACAAAAUUCUAUUUGUAUAUAGAGAAAUGGAACCACGUGGCAGGCCUGGAACUCCACAAAAUUCUAUUUGUAUAGAGAUAUAUGUGCAACAUUUGACUAAGAGAUGCUUUUAACAUAUGAGUUGCAUUAAAAAGAAAUUUUCGUGGAGUUGUCAUACAUGCAAAUAGUGCAUGUAUUGUUACCAUUUAUAAAACUUACAAGAUAUUUCAUAGUUACGUUGAUCACAUCUAUAUGUGUAUCAACUUUUUACCCUUUGCUAAUCAGACUUUUUAGAUGACGAGCUUCGCUUCAUAGAGGCAUGUGGCUAUUCAUUACAGCUUGUGCUUCUAAGACUAGCCAUAAUGGGAGUAACAUAAGUGAUAACAUCACACAUAUUUAAGAAAAUAAAUGUUGUUUCAAGUAAUUAAUGAGGAAAGAGAGCCAUGUGACAACAUAGUAGUAUGUUACUCACACUGUGGGUAACAUCACACAUACCAGGACAACAUGAGUCUACAACUUAAGAUUGCCCAUAGUGUAAGUAACUUUAGCAGUAACAUAAGGUCUAACUCAGUAAAUUUGAUUAUGUGGCAAUGAUUAAAUGAGGAGAGAGACCAUGAGUAACAUCACACAUACCAAGACAAGAUGGAUCUACAACCUAAUAAAUGAGGUAUUGCAUGACACCACACAUAUGUUAGUCCUCAUUAUAGAAGUAUUAAUAUAGAGUAGUAACAUAUGCAUAUUACUAGUCUAAGUUACUCCCCACUAUGUGUAGUCCAAGGGAGGACUAUACCCAAUGCGAAAGCACAAAUUACAAACAAGAGGUGCAUGUGGCGCGGUCAAACGAGGAAGCUCGUACGCUGAUCAAUGCAUCGCAUUAAUUGUUCACUUAAAUAAUUAUUUUAGUCAAAUCUUACAAGUACCUAUAUAGUUGAUUUUGAAGCAAGCGGAUAUACAUAUAGUACGUAAAGAGUAAGUUGGUAUAUCAUCCGGCUAUGCACAUGCUUAUCUGCCUCAAAGUUUGUCCCUAAUAGAGGAUGCACAAUAAUCGCGUGUCAGCCCAACAUUAAUGGAAGCUCGUUCAUUGCACGCCCGGAGAUAUCGGAUCUGAGCUGAUCGGAUCAAUACGUGUGACCCAUGUGGUGGGCGGCAGGAUGCUAGUAGAUAAGAUGGAGCAAAUUCAUUGGAGGAACCUGUAGCAGCUUAGGCACUCGAUUCACCAGGAGGAGAAUCAACUCGUUCUGCGUUUAUUAGUACUCAUCGUAUUUUGGAUCAAAAUUUGAGCACAUAUUUGACUAGCAAAAUCUUAAUUCAUAUCAUCAAGGAUUAUAUUGUUGGAUAAAUAUUUGAAGAGCCUGGACUUUCAGCUCCCGGGUGCGGGGGCACCCUUAUGAACAGUAAAUUCAAAACAAUAUGAAGAAAAUCAAAAAAACUUGAAACCUCGGGGGAUCAAAAUUUCAACAUUCAUGCAAAGUUUUAGCAUCAAAAAACAUUCAUGGGGCCCUCACCAAAAAAAAAGUGUUCACAGUUAUGUGUACUUUUGAGCAGUAAUUUUAUUUGGUGAGGGCUCCUCGAGUGUUAUUUCUGGCUGAAAAUUUGCAAGAACAUCAAAAGUUUGAUCAUAUUUGAUCCCCCAAAAUUUUAGAUUUUUCAAUUUUUAUUUCAUAUUGUUUUAAAGUUGCUGCUCAUGAGGGUGCCCCUGCACCCGGGAGCUGUCACACCUUUCCCAUAUUUGAAUGUAGUUUCCAGUGGUAUUAAUUUUGUUAUGUAUAACAUAUAUUUUAUGUAUAAAAUCAUGGUCCAAAUAUGACCAAAAAUACGAGGGGGCUAAUAAAGCAAGAUGGAGGUAGUAAUUCGUUGACUGAAGUUACUUGUGUGCAUGUUUUAGUGAUGCUUCUUUUAACCUAGUCUUAUCAAGUACAGUACCUAAAUUGAUUUUGAAGCAACUGGAUAGUAAUAUGCACACGCAUCUGCUGCAUAGUGUCCGUGCGCGCCCAUUAAUUUCACGCGCGCAGAUUUCGGAUCUGAGCUAAUCAGAUCCAUAGCUCUCAUUCAUACGGAUCAGAUACAUCAGAGGAACCUCUAUCCAUAGCUUAGCCCGCCAGCCUCUUUAUAUAUGUGUGUGUGACUGUCUCGUCCUUCCAUCCAUCUUGUGUUGUUGCUUGUUAGGCAUAGCAUAGUUCAGCGGCCAGCCAGAUAGCCACCUAGCUAGCCAUGGGUGUGGGUAUGUGUUCCAACAAGAAGAGCAAUAGUGGCGGCAGUGUUGUCGUGUGGUUUUUAGUCCUGGCCUAGCCUUGCUCGUCGACGCUGCGGCGGCAAAGAGGAGGCAAGGGGGCACCGCCGUCCACCUGCCCGGCUGGUAAUGCGAGGAGAGGUGCCAUGGCAAGCAGGACUACAUAUACUGCUACAGACGGUGCAGGGCGAGCCCCAGUGCCAGCAGCGGCGCCGGCCUGCGUCUGGCAUCACAUAGGGGGGCUGGUGAAGAAGAUACAGGAGGAGGUGGCGGAGGAGCUGGUCUCGUGGGGGAGGGCGUCGGGCGUGAAGAAGAGAGGAAGCAAGUGAACAUGGUCAUCCACCCGCCCUGGUCUUGCGAACUCGAAUGCGAAGACAUAGUUGAUCCAGAGUCUGACCCUGACUCCUACAUGGCUUGCGUCCGUGAAUGCUACUUGGGGUUCAGGAAUACCGUGUGUGGGAGGGCAGAAGGUGAAGAUGCAAGAGAAGGAGGAGGAGGAGCCGGUCUCCUAGCGAUGCCGGUGGAGCAUGCCGGCCCGGAAGAAGGAGAAGGGAAGAGGAAGCAAGAGGAUGCCGCCGUCCAGCUGAGCUACAACGAGAAGACCACUGCUACGAUCUCUGCAUCCGCAAGAAGGGCCUGGAGUUCCCUAAAUGCAUGAAGUCAUGCGUCGGGUAAGGUUAAUUAAGUUAUUGAUCUUCCUCAGGCCGGGCCAUUGUUGUCAUGUAUGGUCACUAUCAGUAUCUGGUUCGUUAGCUACAACUUGUUCAUUAUCUUACUUUUCCUCUACUUUCAAGUGUAAGAAGAGCACACAAACAUGUUUUUGUACCGCAACCCAUCACGUUUCCGCGUUUGAAAUAAAAGAAGUUGCCCUUGUUUUGUGCCUAGUGCUGCCCUCUAUAUGUUUUUUUCGCAUUCGUGCACUGUAAUAUUGUUGCUAGCUGAACUUUUUUGCUUUCUCUAUAAAACAGGGUCAUCAUUGCCUGUUAUCUGUUCUCUAAAAACACAUUUGGCAUAAGAAAACCUUAGUUUUGCCGCACAAAAUCCACCGUGUUACUUCGAGAAACCAUGCCCUGCUUAAGCACGGCUACUGAGUCCUCGAGGUCUUAGGGACGCAGAGCCACGGGUUCACUAUGUCGGUGACAUCCCGUGCGAGCGAGCGCUUGAGCACCCAGUCCACGAGCACGAGUAGCUCCCAUCACUGUGCUCUCUGACCGAUGCCGAGCGACUGACGGAGUUGUUGGCCUGGAACCGAAGCGGACGCCUAAGCACGGUGGAGCGCCACCAUGGUUUCCCUCCUCAAUUCUUCUACCUCUCGCUCCCAUCUCAAUUGAAAAGCUCGUCCGUGCUCACGUCGUUGGCGAAAGCAAUUAUUAGGCCUUUGUUCUAGCAAAAUUAUUGAUUAUUUAUAAGUGGCACCGCACCCAUGCAUGCAAGUUGCCCUUCCCACAGUACGUAUAUAUACUUAAAUAGUACUCCCUCCAUCACUACAUUGUGGGACGGAGUGAAUACUACUGAAUUUAGUUAUCCCCAUGAUUAUCACAUCGCGAGGAAGAAACUGGUUAAUUGUUACAGUGUGAUUGACGUCUUGACGGUUAGGGAAAGCUUUGUGGUAACCAACCGAAAUACAUAAUGUUUUUAUACAUGUUGGAACGGAUGGAAUAUUGUAAAUAAGUAGAUGCCAUGCAUUAUUACUUGAUAGUCGAUACACUCUAAGAAAUCAACACGAGGACAUGAUUGAUCAUGUGGGGGAAGGAAACGACGUCGCGCUCCAUGUUAUGAGGCGACCCUCUCAAAGACGUCGUUGACGAAGGAAUUCCUAAGUGCUGGCCGCGACGAUGUCCCGGUACUGGGUGUCUUCCCAGACGAGGCCUUCUUCUCGGCAGACUUGGAUGCUUCUGCAACCGCGGCAUUCUCCUUGGCUGGCUUGGUUGCUUCCGCCGCCGCGACAUUCUCCAUGGGCUUCUUCUGGGCCGGCUUAGGCCCCAUCCUUGAAUGCUUGGAUGGACACAACUGGUGAGAAAGCAAACAGCAGUAGAAUUAGUAGUGCAGGUGGAUGUGGAAGAGGAUGAAAGGGGAGGCGUUUUAUAUAGAGGGGUGGAGGGAGGGGAGGAGAUCCGGGCUGAUUGCCUCGUGACGUGAUCAGUGACGCUCACGCCCAUCAUGGCCCUUGUCAAGUUGCACAGCCCGGCCAUGAUUGGGAACUGUACAAUGGCAGAAAAAUCUCACUAUUGGGAACUGUACAAGCCAUGAGGAUAAGUCCUGCAGAUCAUUUGCUAUAUCUUCCAGACUCCCGUAGAUCAUUGUAGUGCAUCAUGUAGAAAAAAGAUAGGAUGGUGAAGAGAUGGGGUAGGCGGAGUGCCCUCAAUCUCAAUCUCUAAAAUUUAUGUGACUCCAGCAUAUGUCCAUCUAACUAUAUCUGGCACGAACUCAACACUCACAACACCGACCAGCAGCCUCACGGCCCCCUGUGCACGAGUGAAGGGCAUGUCAACCUUUUCUGUCUUGCCAAUCAAAGAUCCCAAGCUCCAGGCAAUCAGAAAAUGAUUAAUCAGUUUAGGUGGUGCGCCAAAGAACCGUACCCAAACCUUUUCUAAAGGUGUACCCUCUGGUUCCUGCUGCUUCCACUCAUCAAAUGCAAUGAUAAUGUUGAUACUCGGAACUCUACACAGACCCACUUAAGAAUAUGCAAUUGAUCCUCUUUAGUGGGAAAAUCCACCUUGUAAGCCUGGUCCUCCAGCUUAUCAAGAUGCCACUGAUAAUUACCCGGUACAAGCUCACGUAGCAGCCUCACAAUCUGAGCCUUAGUCAUCUGUCCAUUAGUAAACCGAACCACUGCUGGGAAAGAACUCUCAACCAUCUGAGGCAAAGGAGCCACCUCCGGUGUCUCAAAAAACAUCAGUUCCUUGCAACACACACUAGUAGAAAAAUGACUUUUAGUACCGGUUCGUAAGGACCUUUAGUACCGGUUCUGGAACCGGCACUAAAGAAUGGGGACUAAAGGUCCCCCCCUUUAGUCCCGGUUCAACACGAACCGGGACCAAAGGCCCACCACGUGGCACGAGGCGCGCCGUGGUUUGGGGGACCUUUAGUCCCAGUUGGUAAGGUUUUUUUAAUUUUUUUUUUGAAAUAAAGCAAAAACAGCCCGCCUACUGGGCCGACACGGCCUACAUACGACUAGAAACCCAAUCUCUAGUUGGGCUAGGAUGCAGGCCCGUACGGCCCAGUAGGCCCCACAGGGCAGAAGACUUGCAAUAGGCCCACAAAGGCCUUCUUAGAGAGGAGCUCGACACGGUAGCCGCGGUGGGGCUUAUAAACCAGUGCGAGCUCCUCUCAACUAGCGAGGUGGGACUAAACAUUGUGCACUGCGGGUGGCAGCGCACCACCUUUAGUACCGGUUGGUGGCUCCAACCGGUACUAAAGGGGGGGGGCUUUAGUACCGGUUGGAUUCACCAACCCGUACUAAAGGAUACCACCUAUUUAGUACCGGUUCGUGGCACGAACCGGUACUAAAGGUUCGCCACGAACCGGUACUAAUGAGCGCCGCCCGCCUGGCCGUUGGAACAGGCACUAAUGGUCACAUUAGUGCCAGUUCAAUUACAAACCGGGAAUAAUGAGUUUCACAUUAGACCCUUUUUCUACUAGUGACACCCCAAAAAAUGUUUAUGCCAGGUUUAGGGCUGGACAAGAGUGGGCAGUCACCGGUCACAUGCUGCGAUCUGACGCAAUGGUCACAUAGAUCAUUAGUACACUGUGCCACAAAGUGUCCUGGUUCGCCACAUCUAUAGCAAGGCAAUUUCUUCUUCUUAAUUGCCCACUUCGAAAGCUUUUCUCCCUCUGCUUUGUCCGACCCUUUGUCCGCCCCACCACCACUAGUCUUAGCGACUCCAGAAGCCGCCGGAAUAUUCACCGCCGCGAAGGCCCUGACCGUGUCUACCGCCACCUCAGGCAAAGUAGUUGUGGCCUCCGCCGCACCAGCUGUGUGGUCCAACACCGCCCCUGGGGCCGUGGUGGUCGAGUUCGCGGCCGGCGAUGGUGGCGGCGGAUGUGUUGGAAAUAUGCCCUAGAGGCAAUAAUAAAUGGUUAUUAUUAUAUUUCUUUGUUCAUGAUAAUUGUCUAUUGUUAAUGCUAUAAUUGUGUUAUCCGGAAAUCGUAAUACAUGUGUGAAUACAUAGACCACAAUGUGUCCCUAGUAAGCCUCUAGUUGACUAGCUCGUUGAUCAACAGAUAGUCAUGGUUUCCUGACUAUGGACAUUGGAUGUCAUUGAUAACGGGAUCGCAUCAUUAGGAGAAUGAUGUGAUGGACAAGACCCAAUCCUAAGCAUAGCUCAAAGAUCGUGUAGUUCGUUUGCUAGAGCUUUUCCAAUGUCAAGUAUCUUUUCCUUAGACCAUGAGAUCGUGCAACUCCCGGAUACCGUAGGAGUGCUUUGGGUGUGCCAAACGUCAUAACAUAACUGGGUGACUAUAAAGGUACACUACGGGUAUCUCCGAAAGUGUCUGUUGAGUUGGCACGGAUCGAGACUGGGAUUUGUCACGAAGAGGUAUCUCUGGGCCCACUCGGUAAUGCAUCAUCAUAAUGAGCUCAAUGUGACUAAGGAGUUAGCCACGGGAUCAUGCAUUAUGGUACGAGUAAAGAGACUUGCCGGUAACGAGAUUGAACAAGGAAUUGGGAUAUCGACGAUCAAAUCUCGGGCAAGUAACAUACCGAUUGACAAAGGGAAUUGUAUACGGGAUUGAUUGAAUCCUCGACAUCGUGGUUCAUCCGAUGAGAUCAUCUUGGAACAUGUGGGAGCCAACAUGGGUAUCCAGAUCCCGCUGUUGGUUAUUGACCGGAGAGGCGUCUCGGUGAUGUCUGCAUGUCUCCCGAACCCGUAGGGUCUACACACUUAAGGUUCGGUGACGCUAGGGUUGUAGAGAUAUUAGUAUGCGGAAACCCGAAAGUUGUUCGGAGUCCCGGAUCAGAUCCCAGACGUCACGAGGAGUUCCGGAAUGGUCCGGAGGUGAAGAAUUAUAUAUAGGAAGUCCAGUUUCGGCCACCGGGAAAGUUUCGGGGGUUAUCGGUAUUGUACCGGGACCACCGGAAAGGUCCCGGGGGUCCACCGGGUGGGGCCACCUGUCCUGGAGAGCUCCAUGGGCUGAAGUGGGAAGGGAACCAGCCCUUAGUGGGCUGGGGCGCCCCCCCUUGGGCCUCCCCCUGCGCCUAGGGUUGGAAACCCUAGGGGUGGGGGGCGCCCCACUUGGCUUGGGGGGGAAGCCACCCCCCCUUUCCCCUUGGCUGCCGCACCCACCCCCCAUGUAGAUGGGUUCCAGGGCUGGCGCCCCCCCUCCAGGGGUCCUAUAAAUAGUGGGGGGGAGGGAGGGCAGCAGCACCACAGCCCCUGGCGCCUCCCUCUCCCCCUGCAACACCUCUCCCUCUCGCAGAAGCUUGGCGAAGCCCUGCCGAGACCCCGCUACUUCCACCACCACGCCGUCGUGCUGCUGGAUCUCCAUCAACCUCACCUUCCCCCUUGCUGGAUCAAGAAGGAGGAGACGUUGCUGCUCCGUACGUGUGUUGAACGCGGAGGUGCCGUCCGUUCGGCACUCGGUCAUCGGUGAUUUGGAUCACGACGAGUACGACUCCAUCAACCCCGUUCAUUGGAACGCUUCCGCUCGUGAUCUACAAGGGUAUGUAGAUGCACACGCUUCCCCUCGUUGCUAGUAUACUCCAUAGAUGGAUCUUGGUGAUGCGUAGGAAAUUUUAAAAUUCUGCUACGAUCCCCAAUAGUGGCAUCAUGAGCCAGGCCUAUGCGUAGUUAAUAUGCACGAGUAGAACACAAAGCAGUUGUGGGCGUUGAUGUUGCCAAUUCUUCUUGCGGCCACUAGUCUUAUCUUGGUUCGGCGGCAUUGUGGGAUGAAGCGGCCCGGACCGACCUUACACGUACGCUUACGUGAGACAGGUUCCACCGACUGACAUGCACUAGUUGCAUAAGGUGGCUAGCGGGUGUCUGUCUCUCCCACUUUAGUCAGAACGGAUUCGAUGAAAAGGGUCCUUAUGAAGGGUAAAUAGAAAUUGGCAUAUCACGUUGUGGUUUUACGUAGGUAAGAAACGUUCUUGCUAGAAACCUAUACAAGCCACGUAAAAACUUGCAACAACAAUUAGAGGACGUCUAACUUGUUUUUGCAGCAUGUGCUAUGUGAUGUGAUAUGGCCAGAAGAUGUGAUGAAUGAUAUAUGUGAUGUAUGAGAUUGAUCAUAUUCUUGUAAUAGGAAUCACGACUUGCAUGUCGAUGAGUAUGACAACCGGCAGGAGCCAUAGGAGUUGUCUUUAUUUUUUGUAUGACCUGCGUGUCAUUGAAUAAUGCCAUGUAAAUUACUUUACUUUAUUGCUAAGCGCGUUAGCCAUAGAAGUAGAAGUAAUCGUUGGCGUGACAACUUCAUAAAGACACAAUGAUGGAGAUCAUGAUGAUGGAGAUCAUGGUGUCAUGCCGGUGACGAAGAUAAUCAUGGCGCCCCGAAGAUGGAGAUCAAAGGAGCAAAAUGAUAUUGGCCAUAUCAUGUCACUAUUUGAUUGCAUGUGAUGUUUAUCAUGUUUUGCAUCUUAUUUGCUUAGAACGACGGUAGUAAGUAAGAUGAUCCCUUAUAAUAAUUUCAAGAAAGUGUUCCCCCUAACUGUGCACCGUUGCGAAGGUUCGUUGUUUCGAAGCACCACGUGAUGAUCGGGUGUGAUAGAUUCUAACGUACGCAUACAACGGGUCUUGUAACAUCCCAAAUUUUUAAUUUGGAAUGUUAUACAUAGACCAUCAUUGCAUAUCAUGUUUUGUUGCAUUUUGACAAAUCCUCGAUAAUCCUAAGCAACUCAAGGACCCUCGGAGAGAGUUGGGGAUUUUCUCCAAUUUUCAAAUUUGAUUUUUCAAACGAGGAUUGUGGUUUUAAUUAUUUUUAUCUCCGGAAAAAUAUUUCAUUUUAAAUAAAUGAGAGGAGAAAAUAUGACUUCUCCAAAACAAUUGAAAUACUGGAGGAAAAAUGUUAAAAACAUUAUUUGAAAUUUAUUUGGAUUUUAUUUGCAAUUUUUAUUGCAUUAAAAAUAUUGCAUGUUUUCAAAUUAUUUAUUUUGUUUUAAAACAAUGUUCACCCUAUUCUAGAUUUUCUAACUAGACGGGGAAAAUUUAUUUCAUAUUUUUCUGAUUUUUAUUUAUUUUUCUACGUAUUAUUUUCCGCGGAACUUAUUUAAAAACAAAAAACAAAACCGCCCGCGCGCCGACUGGGCCAAAGGCCCAGCCGACGGCCCGCCUCGCGCCUUCCUCUUCCCGCACGGGAGCUCGCCGCCGGAGUCCGUCCCGGGCACGGGAGCCGCCGCCGCCUCGGGUGCCCCCUUGCCCAAGCCGCCGCACACCCCCCUCCUUAAAUACNNNNNNNNNNNNNNNNNNNNNNNNNNNNNNNNNNNNNNNNNNNNNNNNNNNNNNNNNNNNNNNNNNNNNNNNNNNNNNNNNNNNNNNNNNNNNNNNNNNNNNNNNNNNNNNNNNNNNNNNNNNNNNNNNNNNNNNNNNNNNNNNNNNNNNNNNNNNNNNNNNNNNNNNNNNNNNNNNNNNNNNNNNNNNNNNNNNNNNNNNNNNNNNNNNNNNNNNNNNNNNNNNNNNNNNNNNNNNNNNNNNNNNNNNNNNNNNNNNNNNNNNNNNNNNNNNNNNNNNNNNNNNNNNNNNNNNNNNNNNNNNNNNNNNNNNNNNNNNNNNNNNNNNNNNNNNNNNNNNNNNNNNNNNNNNNNNNNNNNNNNNNNNNNNNNNNNNNNNNNNNNNNNNNNNNNNNNNNNNNNNNNNNNNNNNNNNNNNNNNNNNNNNNNNNNNNNNNNNNNNNNNNNNNNNNNNNNNNNNNNNNNNNNNNNNNNNNNNNNNNNNNNNNNNNNNNNNNNNNNNNNNNNNNNNNNNNNNNNNNNNNNNNNNNNNNNNNNNNNNNNNNNNNNNNNNNNNNNNNNNNNNNNNNNNNNNNNNNNNNNNNNNNNNNNNNNNNNNNNNNNNNNNNNNNNNNNNNNNNNNNNNNNNNNNNNNNNNNNNNNNNNNNNNNNNNNNNNNNNNNNNNNNNNNNNNNNNNNNNNNNNNNNNNNNNNNNNNNNNNNNNNNNNNNNNNNNNNNNNNNNNNNNNNNNNNNNNNNNNNNNNNNNNNNNNNNNNNNNNNNNNNNNNNNNNNNNNNNNNNNNNNNNNNNNNNNNNNNNNNNNNNNNNNNNNNNNNNNNNNNNNNNNNNNNNNNNNNNNNNNNNNNNNNNNNNNNNNNNNNNNNNNNNNNNNNNNNNNNNNNNNNNNNNNNNNNNNNNNNNNNNNNNNNNNNNNNNNNNNNNNNNNNNNNNNNNNNNNNNNNNNNNNNNNNNNNNNNNNNNNNNNNNNNNNNNNNNNNNNNNCGAUUCCCGACGUUGCCGGUUUUCUGUAAAAAAAACCCCUUCGUUUAAAAAAAUACCCUAGAUCGGUUUUUUUCGGUUUUAUUAUUUUACGAGCGUUCACCGAACCGUUCGUUUUAACGAACGCGUUCGUCGGUUUUUCUCUGUUAACGAACAUCCGUUAUUUAACCGUUCGUCCGUUUUUCUUUUUCGUCGGAUUUUCUCGUUAUUUUCUCAGAUUCGAUUUCUGAUCGAAUCUUCGAUUCUGUUUAACUUCUCGCUCGUUUAUCGGAAUCAGGCGAUUCAAGCGCCUAGAGUUUCGUCUCGAAAUUCUCUUUCCGUUUAACCUACUCAAACAAGUUUUUGCUACAGUAAAAUUUGACCUAGAUCCAGAUUAGCAAACGAAGUUUCUUUCUUUUGUCGUUUGACUUUCGAUGCUUCUUUCGAGUUGAUUCUUUUGCAAACCGGAGUUCUUAAGUUGAACUUUCUGGUUGGAUCUUUCAUUCGAGUUUUACUUGUGCAUUAGUUGAGUACUGAUUGUAUGCUUGUUUGUUUGCGAUAGAGUACCCAGAGUGUGCCGCUUGUUACUUCGACUCGCUAGGUUUUGCGGAUCAUCAGCAAGGCAAGUAACACUUUGAUCAUACCCCGUUCAUACCCAGUUUUUAUUGCAUUAGAUCUAUUCCUCAAACACAUUGCAUGAUUAGGAUCUAAUUAAACUGUGGGUAUUGGGAAGUAGUUGAGGUAGUACCUAUCACCUGUUUUACAUUAUCAAACCCUUGGGUGUUACUUCUACGUUGCUUUUAUUAUUGCCAUGCUAUGCUCGUAGACGUGGAUUGGGUUUGAGUGAUAUCCAUGACAGAUGUGAGAUGUUUAUUAAUGGUUCAACUUAAGGUGGCAACUAAAAACUCACAUCUGGGUGGAUUGAGGCACCUGGAGAACCCAGUGUUGUCUGUAUGUAUAAGGUCCGCCACCCAGGCUCAAAGGGAUCAUAAGAUUAUUCAUGCUAGAAACUUCCUUGUGCAGCCACAAGCUAUUAUGGGCUCUAGCAUAGCUGAGUAGGUUACAGGAUCUCUUGAAGAGGUGGACUAGCAGAUGUAGGGGACAGUAGGUGUACCGGUCCAUCCAGAGUAAAGAGUGAUUGUUUCUGAAAGACCGUGUCUCGGUCAUCCGUUUCUCAAACAUCAUGCAGUGCGAGAAUCAAGCGGAGGCGAUCGAGUCUUGUGGGGAAAAGUGCACAAACCUCUGCAGAGUGUACAAACUGAUCAUGAUUAGCCGUGUCCCCGGUUAUGGACAACUUGAGUAUCUAGUACCUGGAUUAUCAUUUGAAUCUCAUCACCGUGAUACUUAUAAUUAAUUUUGUUGGGUUAAUGAUGAUACUUAAUUGGGAUUGAGUUGGAGGUACCUUCUCAAUGUUUCAACCACCAUGAUAGUUAAAUAAAAUUUAUUCCUUUUGAAGUAGGAUAAAAUUGGCUUUUCGCAAAACUGUAACCAUAGAGCUUUCCACCAGCCAUAUAUGCAUAUAGUAUAGCAUUAUUAUUGUUCAUUGCUCUCUAUGUGUUACAUUGCCAACAUAUUCUAUGUGCUGACCCGUUUUCGGGCUGCAACGUUUCAUGUUGCAGACUUUUCAGACGACGAGUAAGGUGCUUUAGGUCGUGGUCUUAUACUCAGUGAUGCCGCUGGAGUUGAUGGACUCACUUAUCUUCCAAGUCUUCCGCUGUUAUCGUUAUUAGAUGGCCUUAAGCCAUGUUUAUCAUUCUUAACCUCUUUGGAGAUAUUCGAUGUAAUGAGUGUGUGAUUGCUACUCUGUUAUAAAUCCUCCAUUUGUACUGUGCGUGUCAGCAUUACUGAUCCAGGGAUGACACUGGUGCACAGCAGCACAGGCCAUUUGAGGUCUGGUCGCUACAAAGUUGGUAUCAGAGCACACGCUGACUGUAGGACAUGACCACUAAGCUUAAGCCCUAGAAAACUUCUCUCUUCUCAUUUCUGACCUCUCUCCACUUUCUACUCUUUUAGGAAUGGCGAAUGCAAGGAGCAAGUUCAUGCAACCAGAUGAAGACACGCCGUUUGGUCGACAUCUGAAGGAAGUCACCAAGUAUUUGAACAUAGGAAUACCAAGCGUCACCGGAACCUACAACGCCACAUUACCUGAAGAGGAGAGCUGGAAGAUUCAAGUUAUCAUUCCAGGAAGGACGUUUGUGCCAAUUACGGAACCCAUGAGAUUGGUUUUCGAAGCACCAACUUGGAGUUUAGGGAAGAGCAUGGCCGCACACAUCGCCAUGGGACGCAUUGGAGAAGUCUACCACCAGGAGCUUAAGGAUACAAUUUAUCAAAUUUGUGGACGUCGAGACGCGCAAUGGGAGAUGAUCAAGACCAAGAAGGAUGGAUCAAUUGCAGCUUUCAUCCAGGAGCAGAACCAACAUAUUCGAUGCCAGGAGAAUCAGAUGUGCACGGACAAGGAAGAACUGAAGAAGGCAUUCACAAAGAUCAAGGAACUCCAAGAAGAACUCAAGGCUACAUGCGAAGAUUACUUGGAGGAAAUCAAUGCACUAGUAGGGAAGAUUGACGACCUGGAGAAUAAGAUUGGAGCAUUCGUGGGAAAUCUAGUGCCAAAAGCAGAAGUCGACGAAUGCACUUGUCCGGAUAACUACAUCAUCAUCGACGACACCGACUCGGAACCAAGUGAAGACGAAUGGAUUGAUGAAGCUGGAGCAGACAUCAUGGAGUCUUCAACGGAUCAGAAUUUUUAGUAGACCACCAUAUCAGUAGUAGUUUUCCCCCAUUUAAUAGUAUAGUUCAAGCACUUUGUAACGCUAGUUAGAUCGAUUGUUUUGCCUUGUUUGAUUGAUUGAGUGAUAUUGAUUGAAUUUGUCUCAUGAGCAUAUGGGUAGUGUUUUCUCUCUAGACCUCAUUCUAUUCUUACCUCUCAUCUUUUCUAAACCUAUCAGAUGCCUCCGAGACGCGACACCGGAUUUGUUUUCCCGCCAGAGAUCACCCAGUUGAUUCAGCAACAGAAUGCCCUGAUGCAAGUGUUAGUUCAGAACCAAGGCAACGACAACAACAACCCACCGCCACCACCACCUGUUGAUCACUUAGCCCGUUUCUUAAGGCUAAACCCGCCGGUGUUUUCCAGUAGCACCGAGCCGAUUAUAGCAGAUGAUUGGCUCCGCAAAGUUGGAAGGGAGUUGACCACUGCAGGAUGCACAGAUGCGGAAAGAGUGCGUUUUUCCGCACAUCAGCUUGAUGGACCCGCAUCAUCAUGGUGGGAGAAUUAUACAGCCACGUACCCUAUUGACACCGUCACAUGGGACCAGUUUCAGCAAGCUUUCCGUACAACUCAUGUUUCAGUAGGAUCUAUGGCUAUGAAGAAGCGUGAGUUUCGCAACCUACGCCAAGGAGGACGCACCGUAGGCCAGUAUGUGGAGGAAUUCAGUAAGUUAGCACGUUAUGCACCAGAUGACGUUGCUACAGAUGCUGCCAAGCAGGAGAAGUUUUUGGAAGGACUGAAUGAUGAACUGAGUAUGCAGUUGAUGGUAGCAACCUUCAACAACUACCAGGAGCUGGUAGAUAGAGCUCUCAUGAUUGAAGGGAAGCAUCAGCAGAUUGAAAACCGCAAGAGGAAGAAUGGACAAGGGAAGUACAAUUCUGGAGCCCAGCAGAAGCCACGAUUUACCCCGAAGCCGGGAGGACAGUUUCAGCAUACCCAUGGAGGAGGUAGCUCGCACAACCAUAAUGGCUCCAAGAAUGGUAAUGGGAAUGGAGGAGGAAACGGACAGAACCGCACCAACCCAUCUACCCCAACCAAGAGAGAUCUAAGUCACAUUACUUGUUUGAAGUGCCAGAAGACGGGACAUUAUGCAACUGAUUGUCCCGAAGCCCAAAAUGGAAAUGGCAAUGGAAGCUCUGGGAAGAAGCCGAACCCGUUCAACAAAGGACAUGUGAACCACGUGAGCGUGGAGGAGGUUGAAGCUCAGCCUGAUGCAGUAAUAGGUAAGUUUUUGGUUAAGUCAUUUACUGCAACCGUUCUUUUCGAUACUGGUGCAUCGCAUUCAUACAUAUAAAGGGGACUCGUAAACAAGUUUAAGAUGUCCACCCAAGUUCUCAAAAGCCCCAUGUUAGUAACCUCGCCAGGAGCAGAGUAUAUGGCCACCCAAGGAUGUUUUCAGAUACCGUUGGCCAUUGGUAGGCAUGUUUUCCCCUCAGACCUCAUUGUUUUGGAAUCGCAAGGUUUGGAUGUGAUUUUGGGAAUGGAUUGACUAUCGUUGUAUGGAGGAAACAUCGGUUGUGCCAGCAAGACGAUUUUGCUUACCACCCCGGAAGGAAAAAGGAUCAAGUAUGUAUCCCGGCAUAUGCCGAAGAGGACUCAAGUGAAUUCCUUAUCAGGAGUUGUACAGGAGGAAGUACCAGUGGUAAAGGAUUAUCCGGAUGUAUUUCCAGAAGAGUUGCCAGGCAUGCCACCAGAUAGAGACAUUGAGUUUUUGAUUGAACUUUUGCCGGGCACAGGGCCAAUAUCUAAGAGACCGUACAGGAUGCCCGCAAAGGAUUUGGAGGAAAUAAAGAAGCAGAUCAAGGAGUUACUGGAUAAAGGCUAUAUUCGCCCAAGUUCGUCACCUUGGGGAUCACCAGUACUUCUAGUGGAGAAGAAAGAUGGAUCACUAAGGAUGGUUGUUGAUUACCGAGGAUUGAAUGAAGUGACCAUCAAAAACAAGUACCCACUGCCGAUGAUCAAUGAUUUGUUUGACCGCUGGCAAGGAGCUAAAGUAUUUUCCAAGAUCGAUCUACGAUCAGGAUACCAUCAGUUAAAGAUUCGAGAGCAGGAUAUACCCAAGACGGCAUUUACCACCAGAUAUGGAUUGUAUGAGUAUACUGUUAUGUCAUUUGGACUGACUAACGCACCAGCCUAUUUCAUGAACCUGAUGAACAAAGUGUUUAUGGAGUUUUUGGAUAAGUUCGUCGUGGUGUUCAUUGAUGAUAUUUUAAUAUUUUCCAAGGAUGAAGAAGAGCAUGAGGAGCAUUUACGAUUGGUACUUGAGAAGCUCAGAGAACAUCAGUUAUAUGCCAAGUUCAGCAAAUGUGAGUUUUGGCUGAAGGAAGUUGUAUUCCUUGGACAUGUUAUUUCUGGAGAAGGAAUAGCAGUAGACCCUGCCAAGGUUGACACCGUGACAAGUUGGGAAUCACCCACAACAGUUGGAGAAAUCCGGAGUUUUCUUGGACUUGCAGGAUACUACCGGAGAUUUAUCGAGAAUUUCUCAAGGAUUGCUAAGCCCAUGACCGAGCUAUUGAAGAAGGACACCAAAUUCAAUUGGACUGAGGAAUGUGAAGCUAGUUUCCAAGAGCUGAAGAAACGAUUGGUUACAUCACCAGUGUUGAUUCUGCCCGAUCAACGCAAGGACUAUGAAGUUUAUUGCGACGCUUCUCGUCGAGGACUUGGAGCAGUGCUUAUGCAGGAAGGAAGAGUUGUGUCGUAUGCUUCACGACAACUUAAACCCCAUGAGAAGAAUUAUGCUACGCAUGAUUUGGAAUUAGCAGCCGUGGUGCAUGCAUUGAAGACAUGGAGACAUUUUCUCAUCGGAAACCAUUGUGAGGUGUACACGGAUCACAAGAGUUUGAAGUACAUUUUCACGCAGAAGGAGUUAAAUCUCAGACAGAGGAGAUGGUUGGAGCUCAUUAAAGAUUAUGAUAUGAGAUUGCAUUAUCACCCUGGAAAGGCUAACGUAGUAGCAGACGCGUUGAGCCGCAAGAGUCAUAUCAACACCCUCAUGACAGGAGAGUUACCUCAGGAGUUAGCCGAGGACCUUCGUGAGCUAUGUUUGGAGAUAGUCCCUAGAGGCUAUUUAGCGACAUUGGUGAUUCAGUCUACCUUGAUGGAAAGGAUCAGAGAAGCUCAGAAAACAGACAAGGAGAUUGAAGAGAUAAAGGAGAAGAUGAGCAAAGGAAAAGCCAAGGGAUUUCGUGAGGAUGAGCACGAUACCUUAUGGUUCGAGGACCGCGUAUAUGUGCCAAAUGAUCCGGAGAUCAGGAAGUUGAUUUUGCAAGAAGCCCAUGAUUCACCGUACUCGAUUCACCCAGGGAAUACCAAGAUGUAUUUGGAUUUGAAGAAUACUUUCUGGUGGAUCGGAAUGAAAAAAAGGAUAUUGCGGAGUAUGUAGCAGUUUGUGAUGUAUGUCAGAGAGUGAAGGUAGAGCAUCAGAAGCCAGCAGGCUUGCUACAACCAUUGCCGAUACCCGAAUGGAAGUGGGAUAAAAUAGGCAUGGAUUUUAUCACGGGAUUACCCAGGACUCGUUCAGGCUAUGACUCGAUAUGGGUUGUAGUCGAUCGUUUGACGAAAGUGGCUCAUUUCAUUCCAGUGAAGACCACUUACGCCAGUGCUAAGUUGGCAAAGAUAUACAUGACCAGUAUCGUAUGUUUGCAUGGAGUUCCGAGGACCAUUGUAUCAGACAGAGGAACCCAAUUGACCUCGAAGUUUUGGAAGCAGUUACAUGAAACAUUGGGAACCAGGCUGGAAUUUAGUACAGCUUUCCACCCACAGACAGAUGGACAGACCGAGAGAGUCAACCAGAUUUUGGAGGACAUGUUGAGAGCAUGUGCACUAGAUUAUGGAUCUAGUUGGGACGACAAUUUGCCAUAUGCGGAGUUUUCAUAUAACAACAGUUAUCAAACCAGUUUGAAGAUGGCCCCUUUCGAAGCUUUGUACGGAAGGAGGUGUAGAACACCGUUGUUAUGGGACGAAGUUGGAGAUCGUCAGUUGUUUGGACCAGAUUUGAUUAAGGAGUCUGAGCAGAAAGUGAAGUUGAUUCGCGAUAGGCUCAAAGUAGCCCAGUCCAGGCAGAAGAGUUAUGCUGAUUCUAAACGAAAGGAGACAGUUCACGAAGUCGGAGACAAAGUGUAUCUUCGAGUAUCACCACUUCGAGGAGUGAAGCGUUUUGGAGUUAAAGGAAAGUUAGCGCCCCGUUAUAUCGGACCAUACAGAGUGUUGGAACGUAUGGGAGAAGUUGCUUACAAGCUGGAAUUGCCCGAAGGAUUGUCUGGAGUACAUGAUGUAUUUCACGUUUCGCAAUUGAAGAAGUGCCACGCAGAGAUGGCUGAGAUACCACUGAGAGACACCGUGCCACUGGAAGCGAUUCAGUUGGAAAGUGAUUUGACUUAUGAAGAGAAACCGGUUAAGAUUCUCGAGUAUGCCAGCCGAGUUACCCGCGGCAAGGUUAUCAAGUUUUGCAAAGUUCAGUGGAGUCACCAUACAGAGGAUGAAGCCACCUGGGAGCGAGAGGAAGAUCUACGGAAAAACCACUCCCACCUGUUUUCUAGCCAACCCGAAUCUCGAGGGCGAGAUUCAUCUUAAGGGGGGUAGGUUUGUAACAUCCCAAAUUUUCAAUUUGGAAUGUUAUACAUAGACCAUCAUUGCAUAUCAUGUUUUGUUGCAUUUUGACAAAUCCUCGAUAAUCCUAAGCAACUCAAGGACCCUCGGAGAGAGUUGGGGAUUUUCUCGAAUUUUCAAAUUUGAUUUUUCAAACGAGGAUUGUGGUUUUAAUUAUUUUUCUCUCCGGAAAAAUAUUUCAUUUUAAAUAAACGAGAGGAGAAAAUAUGACUUCUCCAAAACAAUUGAAAUACUGGAGGAAAAAUGUUAAAAACAUUAUUUGAAAUUUAUUUGGAUUUUAUUUGCAAUUUUUAUUGCAUUAAAAAUAUUGCAUGUUUUCAAAUUAUUUAUUUUGUUUUAAAAAAAUGUUCACCCUAUUCUAGAUUUUCUAACAAGACGGGGAAAAUUUAUUUCAUAUUUUUCUGAUUUUGAUUUAUUUUUCUACGUAUUAUUUUCCGCGGAACUUAUUUAAAAAAAAAACCGCCCGCGCGCCGACUGGGCCAAAGGCCCAGCCGACGGCCCGCCUCGCGCCUUCCUCUUCCCGCACAGGAGCUCGCCGCUGGAGUCCGUCCCGGGCACGGGAGCCGCCGCCGCCUCGGGUGCCCCCUUGCCCAAGCCGCCGCACACCCCCCUCCUUAAAUUGAACUUUCUGGUUGGAUCUUUCAUUCGAGUUUUACCUGUGCAUUAGUUGAGUACUGAUUGUAUGCUUGUUUGUUUGCGAUAGAGUACCCGGAGUGUGCCGCUUGUUACUUCGACUCGCUAGAUUUUGCGGAUCAUCAGCAAGGCAAGUAACACUUUGAUCAUACCCCGUUCAUACCCAGUUUUUAUUGCAUUAGAUCUAUUCCUCAAACACAUUGCAUGAUUAGGAUCUAAUUAAACUGUGGGUAUUGGGAAGUAGUUGAGGUAGUACCUAUCACCUGUUUUACAUUAUCAAACCCUUGGGAGUUACUUCUACGUUGCUUUUAUUAUUGCCAUGCUAUGCUCGUAGACGUGGAUUGGGUUUGAGUGAUAUCCAUGACAGAUGUGAGAUGUUUAUUAAUGGUUCAACUUAAGGUGGCAACUAAAAACUCACAUCUGGGUGGAUUGAGGCACCUGGAGAACCCAGUGUUGUCUGUAUGUAUAAGGUCCGCCACCCAGGCUCAAAGGGAUCAUAAGAUUAUUCAUGCUAGAAACUUCCGUGUGCAGCCACAAGCUAUUAUGGGCUCUAGCAGAGCUGAGUAGGUUACAGGAUCUCUUGAAGAGGUGGACUAGCAGAUGUAGGGGAAAGUAGGUGUACCGGUCCAUCCAGAGUAAAGAGUGAUUGUUUCUGAAAGACCGUGUCUCGGUCAUCCGUUUCUCAAACAUCAUGCAGUGCGAGAAUCAAGCGGAGGCGAUCGAGUCUUGUGGGGAAAAAUGCACAAACCUCUGCAGAGUGUACAAACUGAUCAUGAUUAGCCGUGUCCCCGGUUAUGGACAACUUGAGUAUCUAGUACCUGGAUUAUCAUUUGAAUCUCAUCACCGUGAUACUUAUAAUUAAUUUUGUUGGGUUAAUGAUGAUACUUAAUUGGGAUUGAGUUGGAGGUACCUUCUCAAUGUUUCAACCACCAUGAUAGUUAAAUAAAAUUUAUUCCUUUUGAAGUAGGAUAAAAUUGGCUUUUCGCAAAACUGUAACCAUAGAGCUUUCCACCAGCCAUAUAUGCAUAUAGUAUAGCAUUAUUAUUGUUCAUUGCUCUCUAUGUGUUACAUUGCCAGCAUAUUCUAUGUGCUGACCCGUUUUCGGGCUGCAACGUUUCAUGUUGCAGACUUUUCAGACGACGAGUAAGGUGCUUUAGGUCGUGGUCUUAUACUCAGUGAUGCCGCUGGAGUUGAUGGACUCACUUAUCUUCCAAGUCUUCCGCUGUUAUCGUUAUUAGAUGGCCUUAAGCCAUGUUUAUCAUUCUUAAUCUCUUUGGAGAUAUUCGAUGUAAUGAGUGUGUGAUUGCUACUCUAUUAUAAAUCCUCCAUUUGUACUGUGCGUGUCAGCAUUACUGAUCCAGGGAUGACACUGGUGCACAGCAGCACAGGCCAUUUGAGGUCUGGUCGCUACAGGUGUUGACGAGCCUAGCAUGUACAGACAUGGCCUCGGAACACACGCAAUACACUUAGGUUGACUUGACGAGCCUAACAUGUACAGACAUGGCCUCGGAACACGGAGGACCGAAAGGUCGAGCAUGAGUCGUAUAGAAGAUACGAUCAACAUGGUGAUGUUCACCGAUCUUGACUAGUCCGUCUCACGUGAUGAUCGGACACGGCCUAGUUAACUCGGAUCAUGUUUCACUUAGAUGACUAGAGGGAUGUCUAUCUGAGUGGGAGUUCAUUGAAUAAUUUGAUUAUAUGAACUUAAUUAUCAUGAACUUAGUCUAAAAUCUUUACAAUAUGUCUUGUAGAUCAAAUGGCCCACGUUGUCCUCAACUUCAACGCGUUCCUAGAGAAAACCAAGUUGAAAGAUGAUGGCAGCAACUAUACGGACUGGGUCCGGAACCUGAGAAUCAUCCUCAUAGCUGCCAAGAAAGAUUAUGUCCUAGAAGCACCGCUAGGUGAAGCACCCAUCCCAGAGAACCAAGACGUUAUGAACGCUUGGCAAUCACGUGCUGAUGAUUACUCCCUCGUUCAGUGCGGCAUGCUUUACAGCUUAGAACCGGGUCUCCAAAAGCGUUUUGAGAAACAUGGAGCAUAUGAGAUGUUCGAAGAGCUGAAAAUGGUUUUCCAAGCUCACGCCCGGGUCGAGAGAUAUGAAGUCUCCGACAAGUUCUUUAGCUGUAAGAUGGAGGAAAAUAGUUCUGUCAGUGAGCACAUACUCAGAAUGUCUGGGUUACACAACCGCUUGUCCCAGCUGGGAGUUAAUCUCCCGGAUGACGCGGUCAUUGACAGAAUCCUUCAGUCGCUUCCACCGAGCUACAAGAGCUUUGUGAUGAACUUCAAUAUGCAGGGGAUGGAAAAGACCAUUCCUGAGGUAUAUUCGAUGCUGAAAUCAGCGGAGGUGGAGAUCAGAAAAGAACAUCGAGUGUUGAUGGUGAAUAAAACCACUAAGUUCAAGAAAGGUAAGGGUAAGAAGAACUUCAAGAAGGACGGCAAGGGAGUUGCCGCGCCCGGUAAGCCAGUUGCCGGGAAGAAGUCGAAGAAUGGACCCAAGCUUGAGACUAAGUGCUUUUAUUGCAAGGAAAGUGGUCACUGGAAGCGGAACUGCCCCAAAUACUUAGCGGACAAGAAGGCCGGCAACACCAAAGGUAUAUGUGAUAUACAUGUAAUUGAUGUGUACCUUACCAGUACUCGUAGUAGCUCCUGGGUAUUUGAUACCGGUGCGGUUGCUCAUAUUUGUAACUCAAAACAGGAACUGUGGAAUAAGCGGAGACUGGCAAAGGACGAGGUGACGAUGCGCGUCGGGAAUGGUUCCAAGGUCGAUGUGAUCGCCGUCAGCACGCUACCUCUGCAAUUACCUACGGGAUUAGUUUUAAACCUCAAUAAUUGUUAUUUAGUGCCAGCUUUGAGCAUGAACAUUGUAUCUGGAUCUCGUUUAAUUCGAGAUGGCUACUCAUUUAAAUCCGAGAAUAAUGGUUGUUCUAUUUAUAUGAGAGAUAUGUUUUAUGGUCAUGCCCCGCUGGUCAAUGGUUUAUUCUUGAUGAAUCUCGAACGUGAUGUUACACAUAUUCAUAGUGUGAAUACCAAAAGAUGUAAAGUUGAUAACGAUAGUCCCACAUACUUGUGGCACUGCCGCCUUGGUCACAUUGGUGUCAAGCGCAUGAAGAAGCUCCAUGCAGAUGGACUUUUGGAGUCUCUUGAUUACGAAUCAUGUGACACGUGCGAACCAUGCCUCUUGGGUAAGAUGACCAAGACUCCGUUCUCCGGAACAAUGGAGCGAGCAACCAACUUAUUGGAAAUCAUACAUACCGAUGUGUGCGGUCCAAUGAGUGUUGAGGCUCGCGGAGGAUAUCGUUAUGUUCUCACUCUCACUGAUGACUUAAGUAGAUAUGGGUAUGUCUACCUAAUGAAACACAAGUCUGAAACCUUUGAAAAGUUCAAGGAAUUUCAGAGUGAGGUUGAGAAUCAACGUGACAGGAAAAUAAAGUUCUUACGAUCAGAUCGUGGUGGAGAAUAUUUAAGUCACGAAUUUGGUACGCACUUCAAGAAAUGUGGAAUCGUUUCACAACUCACGCCGCCUGGAACACCUCAGCGAAACGGUGUGACCGAACGUCGUAAUCGCACUCUAUUGGAUAUGGUGCGAUCUAUGAUGUCUCUUACCGAUCUACCGCUCUCAUUUUGGGGCUAUGCUUUAGAGACUGCCGCAUUCACUUUAAAUAGGGCUCUGUCGAAAUCUGUUGAGACGACACCGUAUGAAUUAUGGUUUGGGAAGAAACCUAAGCUGUCGUUUCUAAAAGUUUGGGGAUGCGAUGCUUAUGUCAAGAAACUUCAACCUGAAAAGCUCGAACCCAAGUCGGAAAAAUGCGUCUUCAUAGGAUACCCUAAGGAAACCAUUGGUUAUACCUUCUACCUCAGAUCCGAAGGCAAGAUCUUUGUUGCCAAGAAUGGGUCCUUUCUGGAGAAAGAGUUUCUGUCGAAAGAAUAGAGUGGGAGGAAAGUGGAACUUGAUGAGGUGAUAGUCACCCCUUCCGAACCGGAAAGUAGUGCAGCGCGGGAAGAUGUUCCUGUGGUGCCUACACCGACUGGGGAGGAAGUUAAUGAGGAUGAUCAUGAAGCUUCAGAUCAAGUUACUGCUGAACUUCGUAGGUCCACAAGGACACGUUCCGCACCAGAGUGGUACGGCAACCCUAUCCUGGAAAUCAUGUUGUUGGACAACGGUGAACCUUCGAACUAUGAAGAAGCGAUGGCGGGCCCGGAUUCCGACAAAUGGCUAGAAGCCAUGAAAUCCGAGAUAGGAUCCAUGUAUGUAUGGACUUUGACUGACUUGCCCGAUGAUCGGCGAGCCAUAGAAAACAAAUGGAUCUUUAAGAAGAAGACAGACGCGGAUGGUAAUGUGACCAUCUAUAAGGCUCGACUUGUCGCUAAGGGUUAUCGACAAGUUCAAGGGGUUGACUAUGAUGAGACUUUCUCACCCAUAGCAAAGCUGAAGUCCGUCCGAAUCAUGUUAGCAAUUGCCGCAUACUAUGAUUAUGAGAUAUGGCAGAUGGACGUCAAAACGGCAUUCCUUAACGGCUUCCUUAAGGAAGAAUUGUAUAUGAUGCAGCCGGAAGGUUUUUUCGAUCCUAAGAAUGCUAACAAAGUAUGCAAGCUACAGCGCUCAAUCUAUGGGCUGGUGCAAGCAUCUCGGAGUUGGAACAUUCGCUUUGAUGAGAUGAUCAAAGCGUUUGGGUUUACACAGACUUAUGGAGAAGCCUGUGUUUACAAGAAAGUGAGUGGGAGCUCUGUAGCAUUUCUCAUAUUAUAUGUGGAUGACAUACUAUUGAUGGGAAAUGAUAUAGGAUUCUUGGAAAGUAUAAAGGCCUAUUUGAAUAAGUGUUUUUCAAUGAAGGACCUUGGAGAAGCUGCUUAUAUAUUAGGCAUCAAGAUCUAUAGAGAUAGAUCAAGACGCCUCAUUGGUCUUUCACAGAGUACAUACCUUGACAAGAUAUUGAAGAAGUUCAAUAUGGAUCAGUCCAAGAAGGGGUUCUUGCCUAUAUUGCAAGGUGUGCAAUUGAGCACGGCUCAAUGCCCGACCACGGCAGAAGAUAGAGAAAAGAUGAGUGCCAUCCCCUAUGCCUCGGCCAUAGGGUCUAUUAUGUAUGCCAUGCUGUGUACCAGACCUGAUGUAAACCUUGCCGUAAGUUUGGUAGGAAGGUACCAAAGUAAUCCCGGCAUGGAACACUGGACAGCGGUCAAGAAUAUCCUGAAGUACCUGAAGAGGACUAAGGAUAUGUUUCUCGUUUAUGGAGGUGACGAAGAGCUCGUCGUAAAGGGUUACGUCGACGCUAGCUUCGACACAGAUCUGGAUGACUCGAAGUCACGAACCGGAUACGUGUAUAUUUUGAAUGGAGGAACAGUAAGCUGGUGCAGUUGCAAGCAAAGCGUCGUGGCGGGAUCUACAUGUGAAGCGGAGUACAUGGCAGCCUCAGAGACAGCGCAAGAAGCAAUCUGGAUGAAGGAGUUCAUUACCGACCUAGGGGUGAUUCCCAAUGCGUCGGGCCCGAUGACUCUCUUCUGUGACAACACUGGAGCUAUUGCCCUUGCGAAGGAGCCCCGGUUUCACAGGAAGACCAGGCAUAUCAAGCGUCGCUUCAACUCCAUUCGUGAAAGUGUUCAAAAUGGAGACAUAGAUAUUUGUAAAGUACAUACGGACCUGAAUGUAGCAGAUCUGUUGAGUAAACCUCUCCCUAGAGCAAAACAUGAUCAACACCAGGACGCUAUGGGUGUUCGAUUCAUCACAAUGUAACUAGAUUAUUGACUCUAGUGCAAGUGGGAGACUGUUGGAAAUAUGCCCUAGAGGCAAUAAUAAAUGGUUAUUAUUAUAUUUCUUUGUUCAUGAUAAUUGUCUAUUGUUCAUGCUAUAAUUGUGUUAUCCGGAAAUCGUAAUACAUGUGUGAAUACAUAGACCACAAUGUGUCCCUAGUAAGCCUCUAGUUGACUAGCUCGUUGAUCAACAGAUAGUCAUGGUUUCCUGACUAUGGACAUUGGAUGUCAUUGAUAACGGGAUCACAUAAUUAGGAGAAUGAUGUGAUGGACAGGACCCAAUCCUAAGCAUAGCUCAAAGAUCGUGUAGUUCGUUUGCUAGAGCUUUUCCAAUGUCAAGUAUCUUUUCCUUAGACCAUGAGAUCGUGCAACUCCCGGAUACCGUAGGAGUGCUUUGGGUGUGCCAAACGUCACAACGUAACUGGGUGACUAUAAAGGUACACUACGGGUAUCUCCGAAAGUGUCUGUUGAGUUGGCACGGAUCGAGACUGGGAUUUGUCACGGAGAGGUAUCUCUGGGCCCACUCGGUAAUGCAUCAUCAUAAUGAGCUCAAUGUGACUAAGGAGUUAGCCACGGGAUCAUGCAUUACGGUACGAGUAAAGAGACUUGCCGGUAACGAGAUUGAACAAGGUAUUGGGAUACCGACGAUCGAAUCUCGGGUAAGUAACAUACCGAUUGACAAAGGGAAUUGUAUACGGGAUUGAUUGAAUCCUCGACAUCGUGGUUCAUCCGAUGAUAUCAUCGUGGAACAUGUGGGAGCCAACAUGGGUAUCCAGAUCCCGCUGUUGGUUAUUGGCCGGAGAGGCGUCUCGGUCAUGUCUGCAUGUCUCCCGAACCCGUAGGGUCUACACACUUAAGGUUCGGUGACGCUAGGGUUGUAGAGAUAUUAGUAUGCAGAAACCCGAAAGUUGUUCGGAGUCCCGGAUGAGAUCCCGGACGCCACGAGGAGUUCCGGAAUGGUCCGGAGGUGAAGAAUUAUAUAUAGGAAGUCCAGUUUCGGCCACCGGGAAAGUUUCGGGGGUUAUCGGUAUUGUACCGGGACCACCGGAAGGGUCCCGGGGGUCCACCGGGUGGGGCCACCUGUCCUGGAGGGCUCCAUGGGCUGAAGUGGGAAGGGAACCAGCCCUUAGUGGGCUGGGGCGCCCCCCCCUUGGGCCUCCCCCUGCGCCUAGGGUUGGAAACCCUAGGGGUGGGGGGCGCCCCACUUGGCUUCGGGGGGAAGCCACCCCCCCUUUCCCCUUGGCCGCCGCCCCCCAUGUAGAUGGGUUCCAGGGCCGGCGCCCCCCCCCCCUCCAGGGGUCCUAUAAAUAGUGGGGGGGGGGGAGGGAGGGCAGCAGCACCACAGCCCCCGGCGCCUCCCCUCCCCCUGCAACACCUCUCCCUCUCGCAGAAGCUUGGCGAAGCCCUGCCGAGACCCCGCUACUUCCACCACCACGCCGUCGUGCUGCUGGAUCUCCAUCAACCUCUCUUUCCCCCUUGCUGGAUCAAGAAGGAGGAGACGUCGCUGCUCCGUACGUGUGUUGAACGCGGAGGUGCCGUCCGUUCGGCACUCUUUCAUCAGUGAUUUGGAUCACGGCGGUCCAUCAACCCCGUUCAUUGGAAUGCUUCCGCUCGCGAUCUACAAGGGUAUGUAGAUGCACUCCCUUCCCCUCGUUGCUAGUAUACUCCAUAGAUGGAUCUUGAUGAUGCGUAGGAAAUUUUAAAAUUCUGCUACGAUCCCCAACAGGAUGUGGCCGCGGUGGAGGUGGGCGCCUCCCACCCCCUCUCCCGCCUUGCCGAUAACCUCCCCGAAAACGCUCAUUGGGGCCGGUGACACCUUCAACAAAAUUGCCGAGCGGUCCCUGAAAUCGACGUCCUGGACCACCGCCAUUGUACCAGUUGAAGCCUCGGCCACCACUGGAGGAAGAUCCACGGUGCUGCCCCUCACUAUAUGCAUCAUAACCAUCAUCUCCCCACUGUUCGUACCGGUUUCUCGGACCAUCUCUGCCGUAUCCACCUUGUCCGUGAGCAUCCCAUCCAUGGUGAGAACCACGACCUCUUCCAAGGGCCGGCGCCUUGGCCACCGGCGCAGCACGUUCCUGCCUGCGGCUGCCACACGUUCCUAGCAGCCUGCCCCGGCGCCUGCCGUCCUGAAGCGCAGGCAACGGCCCCUACCUCGCGGGAGGUGGAGCGCCACGACCGGCUCCGCCGGUUCCUGCCUGCGGACCGGCCGCGGUACUGGCACCGCAAGUGGCGGCCCUUGCCUGGCUGGAGGCAGAGCGCCUCGGCCGGCGCCGGCGGCUCCGGUGGCGGGCGUCAGCCCAUGCCUGGCUGGUGGUGGUCCGCGUCCAGCCAUCUUGCCGGCGCAAUGGAUCCUGGCCGCGUGCCCCGCGCCGAGAGUCGGGAAGCCUGGCGUGCGUACAACCAUAGCUGCGAUCAGUGAGGACUCGAGUAUCGGUGAUACUUGCAUGCACGUAAGAUGCGAGUCGGAUGUGGCUUGGGCUUCUAAAUGGGCCUCGCCCGAGCCUAGAGAGCCCACGACCAACGCUGCUUCCGUUUCGAUCCCUUGGCCCAGCAGCAAAUUCAAGCGCGCCCUUCUGGCCGCUCGAAUUGCGCUCGUCGAUCUUGUCGGCGGCGGCCGACCUUUCUUUCCCUUCUUCUUCCGAGUAACUAGAGUCCAUGAUUCUGGAAUAAAAUCCGACAAAGUAACGGGUUCACAAAAUACCUUAGGGAUCGGGCCGAUCCAGGGUUUCACGGACGGCUUGGGUCGUUGAACCUUGGACCGAUGCCGAUCGGGUACCGAUUUGAACUCCGACGGCUUCAUCGAUCCCGUAUCCUUCAAAACCUCAAGCAGAUCCGGCGAGGCUUGUUUCUCGGCCUGUUCUUCAUCAUCACUCUCAAUAAGAGCCCAAAAGCGCCCUCCCGGUCUUCCACGUUCUAUCGUCUCCGUCAGAUCAACUAGCUCCACUACGUCCAGAGCCAGAUCAACCUGCACACAAGGACCGACAACCACAUCAUACAUAUCAAUCAUGAAAUGGAGCCCUACCUCGAUAAAGUCGUCGUUCGGAAGAUAGUCGCCGGCUAGCACUUCGUUCUCCAUAUCAUAGUUUAAAAAACUGAACCGGAAAUCGAACCGGAAUGGUUGUCGGUUCAGGUUUUUACCGGUCGGACCGCCGGUUCACCGGUUCGAUUGUCGGUUUUUUAAGAAAUAAAAUAAUAUAUGUUAAUUAAUAUAUGUGCUAAUAUACUGUGAAAUAGUGGUCAAAUAAAAUUAUAUCCAUGUAGUGGACAACAAAGUAGCACAACCAAGUUGGUUAUUGGGCCAUUGGCAGGCCCCACGUACUGCUCAGACGACCUUGGAUCGAAUCCCAAUUUCUAUAAAACUUUUUUCCUGGUUUUUCCCGGUUCAAUGGCCCGGUUUUCCAGAAAACCGGCCGGUUCGACCGGUUUUCUCUGGUCUAAUUGCAGAACGGUCUUAUUAGCUCAAAAAAUCGAUGAGGCUGCCGGUUCCGGGUUUUUUUGGUUCGACUGCCGGUCCGGUCCGGUUUUUUUAACUAUGCUCCAAAUCUAGGAGAACCAUCCAGCGCGACUUUGGAGUAAAUCGGAGCCGGCCUUCGAUCCAUUUGCCGGGAUCUGUCCCGACGGAGAACUGAAUCCUCCAUUGUCCCGAUCUAGUCCUCUCCUACCCGAUCUCUCCAUGCGCCGUGACUCCGUGAUCAGAGCCUGGCAAUCUCGCCGGCCCCUCCUUUCCUCCAGGUGGCGCCGCCACAGGGGCACUUGGAGAGGAUGCGCGGAUCCGCGGCGGCCCGGUCACAACACCGUCCGGCGAGGGGUGGUUUGCUAGUACAUUUUAGCUGUGCAACAAUCAUGAUAUAUUGCACUAUUCGGUUAGAAACUCAUCAUGUUGACAGAGCAUUCAUCUUAACUAUGCCAGCAUGAAUGAGCGAAAAUCAGUUUACACGGGAAUGCUGCUACUCAGUCGCUCCACUGUUGCUUCACAGGGUUGGAAAUAUGAUACUUCGAUGCCAGGUAAAUCAUAACGCAAUGUACUACAUGAAUAGAGUGUUUCUUGUCAGCAAGAGGUGACCCAUAAUCAUCACAUAUCAGUUGAACUAUACUUUGAUGAAUGACUGACCCAUAAAGCAAACUUUUUGGGUGCAGCCUGCAGCAUGCAUGCAGACUUUCGGAUAUACCAGCAGGUCCGUAUGUACAUAAAAAUGAACUCACAUCUCUGGAUCAAGUCAAUAUGUAAUAACACUUGAAAAAACAAAGCAUUGAAUCUGCCAUUACACACGAAAUAAUUAAAUGGACUCUACACGAAAUGGUGCCUGAUUUUGUGCAAUAUGGGUCAACCAAUUUUGUACUACUCUCACAGACUAGCUUAAUUUUUCAUGAUUCCAACAAUAGAUUUUAACUUUUCCAUUGUGCAAAUUAUAUGAAAAUAUCCAAAGCUGAAUCAUUUGAGAACAUAGUUAGACAAAAUAAAUAAUAAUACAAAUGGACAACAAAAAAAGAAGAACAAUUAGAUUCUGUUGCUGCGACUUCAACCACUAUGGUUGAUAAGUUCACAAUUCGUUUUGCUACAAAAAUACGUACCAUCGGAAUAUAAACUAGUAAAAUGUCAGUGCGGCAUGCAUCCAUUCAUUAGAUGCAAAGACUAGACUUCCAAGAUUGUUUUAAAUAAACAACGUACUGUUCACACACUGUUCUGACCCGAAUUUUUUUUGCUGAGCGCUGCUCAGAUGCCAAAAUAAGUGGAAAUUUGGAGCGAACCUAACGCAUACAAUUUUCUAUCACACAAAAAGAAUUUGGAUUUUUUUAGUAUUUGUUUUGAUUUUUUUCUAACAGGGUGCAGAUGAGCCUGGGCACCGAAUUGGAUUUUCGAUUGUUUGUACACUACUACGUAAAUAUGCAAACUAGUCCGAGCGAAAGAGUUUCUACAAGAAAGGUAGUAUUGCAGCAACAAUAUUGAAAAUUCAGAACCUAGUUCAAGGCAAACACUAGGAAAUCGCACCGCAGCAAGAAUCCAAAGAUGAAUCGCGCAAAGGAUGUCAGAAGGAUGCACAGAAAAUUACCAGCCAAAGAUCUGACAAAUCCACAAGGUUGAUAUGAUAUAGUGGACCACCAAGUUGUCAAGACAUAAUGGAAAAUGAGUUAACCACAAGGUGCUAGUACACUGAAAAAUCCAGGCAUAUUAACUGAAGCAACUCCGUGAUACACUGGACGUCAAGUCCACUUCACAUGCAGCACCAUCCAAGACGAAACAACCGUACCAACAUGUUACAAGAAGGAUCAAGUUCAGAGUCAACUCAAUAGAGAGCGCACGAAUGGACGAUCUAUGUACUCAUUUUCAGCUUCACCUUGUCCACCAGCAAUGCCUACAAGAAAAAUAAGUCGAAUAAACCAAUGGAAAAGAUUAAGAUGUAAUGUAAUUUGAGUCACUUUAUGUCAGUUCUACUUCUCUACUGGCCUGCGUGCCGUUCGGUGGCCUGGGUGCCCUGUAACUCACACUUUCGUAACUUCUGCUUGCCCUUGGUUGGGCGUGGUCGUGGAUGUCGGUUUGGUGUGUCUGGAACACUGCCGAGUGGCUUUAUUUAUAAAGUCGGGCUCAUACCUUUCCUCUAAAAAAAAUGUAAUUUGAGAGGCAAAAGGAUAAUACUCUGUAGCACGGAUUGAAAUGUGUAAAAGAAACCACAUAUAUCGGCAAGUGCAAGGAAGAAGGAUGAUAAUCAUUACCAAGUUGAAGCAGAUUCUAUGGCAAUUUCAAUGUUCGAAGGACAUGUAUUAAUCAAGAUUUACUCACAAAUUUCUCGUCAAUCCUUAAGCAGACACUAUGGAUAUUUAUAGUGCUCCUUUCCACUAGUUGGAAACCGACUGAUAAAAAUACAAUGCAUGCACAGAACAUAGUUAGAAUUUAGCAAAGGCAACAUACAAAUAGCCAUAUUAUUUUUCUAGCUAUAAUGGGCCCAAUAAUAAUAAGAAAUUACUAGCACAUACGCCCAUGCGUUGCAACGGGCAUAUGCACAUAUGCCCGUCCGUUGUGCCUGCCUCUUCAUUUGGUGGCUCUGCGGCGACCUUCGGGACACGGUUGCUUCGACCACUUUAUCCUACGACGGCGUAACCGGCAUUAUUAUUAAUUGCAGCGUAUAAAUCACGUUUCAUUAGCAUAAUCAGGCAUGAAUGUCCCUUCUUUUUGAGAAUUUAUUCUGUUUGAUUAUUUUAUUGCUCAAGUGCACAUAAUUUUGCUCUAACUAAAGCCGAACAACAUUUUCUCUUUUAUUGGCAUGUGCCAACAAUUUCUUUCACUUAUAGACAACCAUCAUAGAACGAACACGCACCGCAAACCAAUGGCUAGCGCGAAUAUUUAAGAAAUAUUAUAGCGUCAGAUUAGAAAUAUGUUUUGACUUUUUGAAUAUUAAAAAGAAUGAAUUAGCGAAUAUUCUUGGAAACAUUAACAAUUUUUUUGUAUCCCGUUUUAUUUUCAAAUAAUGUGAUUUUUUUCUGAAAAUUCGAAUAUUUUUGGAAAAACACGAACAAAAUUAGAAACAUUAAUAGUUUUUGAAAUUCACAAACUAUAUUUUAAAAAACAUGAAAAUUUUAUAAAAACACAAACAUAUUUGUAUUUUUGUGUUUUUUAAGUGUAACGUUCCAACCAAUUUUAUCAAAUGUUUUCUUAGAAGCAAAUAUUACUUUAGUUUUGUGAACAUGUCACAGAAAGAAGAAUAUAUUAAAAUAUGGAACAUUUUAUAAACUUUACUAUUUAUAAAAAAAUCUUGAUGAAUUUUUUAAAAACACUAACAUUUUUUCAAAAAUGAGAACACUUUUUUAAUGUUGAGAAAAUUUUGAAACAGAAUUUUCAAAAAAGAUUCGAACAUUUUUCAAUUUUUUAACAGAAAUUGAAAAUCUUAAUAUUUUUCUUAAUUUUUACUUCAUAGUAAAAAUAAAAAUAAAAAUAGAACAACAAAAAGGGGAAACAGGUCGGCGCAGUCUUAGGCCCCAGGUGGGAAGCUUCAACUAUUUAUCGCUUCAUGCGACAAAUAAGGUCUUUCCAACUGCGUGGUCAAUACUAAGUGGGCUUGCUUCGUUGAGCGAGAGCACGCGCUGCUAAAUUACGGAAUUCUGAACAAACCUUUUUAGUUUUCUAGCGGAUAGACGCACAAAAAUUUAGUACUACCUCGGAUAGAAAAAAAAAUCUUUUCAACGUAAAUUGGAGAAACACACCUUGCUUUAUUAGUAGGGGUAUAGAUAUACACAUCAUCACAAGUUCUCGUAGUGGAUGUACAAACCCAACAUCUGGGUUCAAAUCCUCAUGGAGGCCAAUUUAGGUUCCUAUUUAUUCUUGAGGACCAGGCUUUCCUGAUACUUACGCAUUUAUUGAGGACUAGGCUCAGUGCAUAACCGAUAUUAAAAAUCCUAAUACUCAUACUUAAACGGCGUAUGCAUCCCUAGUUGGUGCAGAGGCCGGGGAAGUGAAAUUCUCUCCCAAUUUUAUAUCUACCAUCUGGCAGGAUACGAGAUCGCCUAGGUCGCUCCCGCAGGUGGCUGGGCGAAACCCUAGCCACCGCCGCCGCCCGCACCUCCUCCCCGCCUCCCCCUCCUCUCGCUGCCGCCGGAGGGCCCCGCCGGGCGAAGCCUAGUUGGCGUUGGCGGUGGCAGGGCCCUUAUCCUUCCUCCCCUGGUGGAUACGGCGAGGGACGUUGUGACCGGGCGUGGAGCGCGGCGCUCCCGCAGGGCGUUGCGGCGGCGUCUCGAACAACCAGGCCUUGGGCGCGGUGGUGCGUGGACGCGACAGCGACUGCAUGGCGAAUGUGGCGGGGCGGGCCGGCGUGGCGUGAGCAGCGAGGGCCGGUGUCCUCCGUCGAGGCGGCGAUGGCGUCAACGUGAUAGAGGCAGCGGUGUGGUGGCGGUCCUUGUACUCUUGUCGCAUCACGGCAACGAUCUGCUUGAUCGAUCCUCCUUGAUCUGGCUGUCGACGUGUUCCGAAACUACUGCUAGAGAUCAUACCCAAUGAUAUUUGGACCGGAUAAUAUCCGGUCGUGCAUGUCCAUAUCAGCCUACGUUGCUCCAGGAGGGCGCAUCGCGAAGCUCUGUUGUUUGUUGACAUCAUGAGACAUGUCAGCAUCUUGAUUUCCAUGACACGGACAACACCGGAGGAAGUCUUGAUGGCUAAGAUCGGAGGAUCAGUACGGCAGAUGGGGCCUAGUAGGCGAUGGAGUCAGCCAUAUGUUUGAUAACUUUCAGUAGCAGUAGUGUCAAGUGGGGGCGACAGCACAUGAGGAUUUGAUUUUUGGUGGUGCUCCUCGGGUGCUGAGUCGUGACUUUCAGGGUGAAAACCUAAGCUCUGGCCUUCAUUGGUUGUGCCUGGCAACUGCCUUGUUGAAGGUAUUGUUUUGAGUGCUCGAUCUUUCUCCAGGGUGAAAACCUAUGAUCUUGGAUUGGGCGACAAUGGCGCUGGUGCACUGUUUCCUUCUUGAAGGCGUCGUUUUUGGAGGUCUUUUAUAUUUUCUGUUUGUUGUCUUUGGUGGUGGUUGUGUGCCGAUGCUUGUAAGUGCAUCUAGUGCCCCUUAGUGAUUUUGGUGUAUUGAAGACUUAUAGGUUAAGGGACUAAUGUGUUUAUGAGUGUACACAGGUCUAUAAGUCUACGAGGAGUUUGAUAUUUACAGAGAAAGUCGACCCCUAAAAAUGAAGUUCUUCGACUGAAGACUUUCUGAAGACUUUGAAAGUGAAGAAAUUGGUGUGACCUUGAAGACUUGGUAUUCAUUUGAGGAACAUGAAGCGUGAAGAAUUUUGUUUUCGUAGUUUCAUUUUCUCUUUCUUGAGUCAUAGGAAACACCGUACUGUUAAAGGGGUCGAGGAAAUACUAAGGAAAAUUUUCCACCUACCAAUCCCUUCGAGUGAAGCCAUUGGAAAUCUCAUACAGUUCAGUCAUAUUCUUCAGUGACAGAGACGAAGUUCUUCUGGUCUCUGAGGAAUUUGUUCUGACUGAGGAGUUAGGUAUUCGCCAGUGCGGAUUGCCUACGCAGUGAGGAACAUGAUAGCCCUGAGGAAUUUGAUACUCAAAUUUCCGACCGUUGCUGUGCUAUGCGCCAGCUGUCCCAAAAUAUCUACCCACCUAACGGUCAUAUCAUUAAAGUGCAUUUAUGUCUUAUCAUGUCGGGCUGCUCCCUAGGCUAUAAAUAGCCGCCCCUAUAACCACUAGCUGAUUGGCUGCUCCGAGAAAAACUGACAUUUGUCAUUUGAGAGCAUCCCAUCCUCCGAGGACUUUGAGCGAAAAUCAUCAAGUGAGGAAAACCCAAACCCAAACACCUACAAACCCAAAGUGAUUGAGCAUCACUGAAGAGAUUGAUCCUGCGUGGAUCCGACACUUGUUACCUUUGAAGACUGUGCUUCUUCCAGACGGUUAGGCGUCAUGGUCUAGAGCAUCCAAGAGGAAUUGUGGAUCGCCGAGUGACCGAAUUUGUGAAGGUUCAGAAGUCACCUGAAGACUUACCACGAGUGAUUGGACGAGGUCUGUGUGACCUUAGUUCAAGGAGAAUACGGUGAGGACUGUGUGUCAUCAGGUUUAAAUACCUAGCCGCUCCAACCAGAUGUACAACUGAGACAGCAGUUGAAACUGGUCUACCAAAUCAUUGUCUUCACCAAGCCUAUUGGUUCUAUUUCCUCAACUCUUUCAUUUCCUCAUUACUUUGUUGUUAGCUUGUCAUAUCUGUGUUUGAAGACUUUGACUGAAGACUUUCUCAAUUUCCUCAGUUCAAUUUCUUUAGUCUGUUUGUCUUCAUCCUGUGUUAUCCUGUGAUUACGCUUUCUGUACUCUGUGCUUGUUUUCAUUUCAUCAUGAUGACCAUGCUUGUAUUCUGUUAUGCUUACUUUUGAGGACUUAUUCCGCUGCAAGUAGUUCUUCGCUAAGGAAUUUCCUUACCGGCAAAUUCCUCAGUGAAGAAUUUAUAAAAAUCGCCUAUUCACCCCCCUAGUCGAUAUAACGCACUUUCAAUGCUGAGAGGAGUUGGUCACCUUGGCGAGGCCAUUUUUUCCCUUCCUUUUCUUUUCUUUUCUUUUCGGGCUGUGUGCAUCCUAGAUAUCUUUGUGACUUCUUGUUGGUGCAGAGACCGGGUGUAAUUGGUAUCUUCACGAUAUUAAUGUAUUCUCCUUCUCAAAAAAAAUCAUAGGUCAUCGGACCAAUAAAUUAACUAGCAACUCCUUGUAUUAUUCUAUGCUUGGUCGAUCCUUAAUCACUUGAACAAUAUUAUAACAAGCACCUACCAAAUGUAGCUUUAAUGAAUCUCAGAAAAAAAAACUUAAAUGAAUUUGUUCACUUGUGAAAUGUAGAUAGGGCGGUAUUACAUCUAGCAUAGAAAUUUGUGUAGGGAUGAUAUUCGAGAUAACAUAUGUCAUUUCUUUUAAUAAUCUGUUUGAUCUGCAUCGAGUCAAGUGGGAACAUGAAGACGCCAACAAUAGAUAUAACAAUCACAUUUGUCUCGUCAUCAUACUCCACAGAAACAACUAUUAUGUGGUCAUUAUGCAUUCUCCGUGGGAACAACCACUCAUGUGGGAUGGUUUUCCGCAAUGACACCCAUCUGACAACACCAUCACAGUAAGAUUUCCUCUCCCAGAAUUGGAUGGUCUGUUUCGACGAAACAGCAAGGCCAAGCCCACCAUCCUUCAUCCGCAAGAGCUGGAAAUGCCACUGGGAAAAAACAUGCUUGUCUGCCAGCUUCUCGAUCACACAAAGGCUUUGUAUUUGAAAAUCAAACACAAGGACAUCACCUCCGUAACUCAAAGAGAAAAAUGCAUUCCCAAACAGCAGAUGUCGAGUCGUUGAGAGAACCAAAUGCCCGUUUCUUUCCAACGCAGACCAAAGCCAAUUUAAACGGACUUGAGACGCAACCUUCAUGAACAUGCCCAUCUUGGGCAUCAGUGCACAACUUUGCGACAUCCCAGGUCUUGUAAUGCCCCCUUAGGGCAUUAUUCAGCCCCAAUGGGAAAGUCACCCGGUGUUGUUGUCCAAUGAGGGGAUCCCACACAGCAAUACCGUGCUCCCAUUCAUUUGUUAGGAGAACGAGGCCAUUGCGGCAGGCCAUAAAAUUACAGUGUUUGUUGUCCAGUAGGGGCACAGGGAAGCGAGCGACAGGUAUGCGGUUGGGGGGCUCCAAGAUGGGGGUGAAGACGUGUUUUGUGUUAUGUGACCCUUUGUAAAGAAGCCUAGCAGAGGCCUUCAGUGGUGCUUGGAGAAGCGGUGGAGGAACUUAGGGUCAAAUACGAUGCUGGGCCAGCGCGGGCAGACGAGGGAGGCGCACGGAAGGGAGGAUGGCUGGUGAGGGAGGCACAGGAGGAUCUCCUUGAGGAGUGGAAAAUACUGUCAGAAUGCAAUUGGGAAAGGAAUAGAUAGUAGAGGAGCACUAAAAAGCGGUUUUCACCACUUGUUUGUUUCUUCCAGCAAGCGCCGCCGAGUAGCUAGGGACAGGGCAUGGUUGAACAACGGAGGUCUUGCGGGCUGAAAGAAGUGCCCUGCAGGACGGGUUGCGCUAGAGCCUACAGCCUAACUUGGCCGAGGAGACAUAGCUUUGCACUUGUCCAGUUUUGAUAGUACUGAUUUCGGGCACACAUGAACAGCUAAGAUCGAUGCAGGUAACAAUAGUAGAGCAAUAAUAUAUUAAUUGAUGGCAGAGAUAAUCUAUACAUACCAGGUCAAUGCCAUCUUGAUAAAGUAGUAUUUAUUUCCUGGUCAGCAAAUGGUGAGCUCCUCGAUUGAGCAGGCUAAUAAUACAUACCAGGUCAAUGCCACCUUGAUCUAAUGGCAGGGAUACCAUCGCAUGCAGCGUCCUGUCAUCAGUUGAGCUAGCAAAUUUAAAAUAUUAUCCCGAAUGCUUCGGUUUAUUGCCUAUCCAGCGACUCUGGGUAAACUACUAAGCGUGUUGCCUACAAGGAAUCAACUCAUGUGCUGAGUUGAUUCCCGAUAAGAUAUAAUUAGUUUCAAAUUGCCUGGUGAUGAACAGGAUGCUGAUUUGUAUUCUCUGAUUGGCGAACCAUCUUGUAACAACCAUCUACCAAUUUGUAUUCUCUCUCCCAAAAGCUUCUUGUUGCAUCCCACCCUAGCACCAAGAUUAGUUUCUUCUAUUUUUACUACGACUGCCAAAUGACGUGUUGAUGUAACUGUAAAUUUUGGAAGUUAUCAGCUCCAGUAAAAUGUGAGAACCAAGAAAGAUUUGAUGCUUGUGCAACACUUUCUCUGUUGGGUUAGGUGCACGUUUUAAUACAUGUGUAAACUGUUUUUAUGAAAUCUCGGUUAAACAUACGUUAUACUUGACCAGUAGGAGGCUUCAACUAUAUUAACAGUAGUACUGCCUCUAUAACUUAAGAUAAGAAGUUUUUUGGCACUGUCAUAGUUUUGAAAAAUGUCUUAUUUUAUGUUACAGAGUGAAUACAUUGUAGCUGCACACUGAUGAUGAAUUUUUUUUGCAACAGAAUUGGCACCACAUAUUAAUUAUGUUGCACUAUUCGGUUAGAAAUUAAUCAUGUUGACGGAGCUUUCAUUUUAACUAGUACUUGUAAGAAUGAGCUAGAAAUGGAUUAUAUUUGAAAGCUGCUACAAAGCUGCUCCCGGUAUCAAUCUCCAUGCUGCACCUCCCAUUUCAUUACGGAAUUUAGUUCUUUUUGAAGAUUAAGAAAGAUCCGAAAUAGCUUGAAAUAAAUAAUAAUUGGUUCAAUAAUAAUUGUUCCGAGAGAACCUUGUACUAAGAUAAGAGUUGGCCAUUGGUACAUGGUAUAAACAUAAUCUUAAUGAAUUAACUGACUUGUUUUAGUUACUAAAAUAAAAAAUCUUAAAAAUCUAAAAUUUGACCUGCUAGUGUUCUAAGUUCAAAAGUCUAGUAAAGGCAGUAAAGACAAUGGAUUUUAUCGCAAUCGAAGGUCAUGCAGUAGGCUACGGAACUAUGCAGAGUAGCAAUGAAUGACGACGACCAAGGUUAUGAUAUGACCCAGAAAACUCUUUGUGGCGCACAUGGAGCAUAGUAACUAGAAUGAAUUUGGAAGGUGCAUGCAUCAUUAAGUACCCAUCUACAGAAACCUGAUGAACAUUCUACAAACAUUAGCUCUCUUUUCCAGAAAAUUCUUUGUUAUGCACAGUAAAGUUUUCAAGUACAGGAAACCUGGUGAACAUAUAAAUUAAAUUAAAUUUGUGUUUUCAAAAUAUCUGCUCUUUCACAUAAAUAAGAAUAGUACUAUGAAUCUCGGUUGAUUCGAACUGUGAUGGUCAAAACCAAUUGUAUGUACACUAGAUUGGAUGGAAACCGACGUAUGCGUCGUCCACAGUCUUGAGUAUCAGUGGUUCUGUGGGCAUGUGUAGUCGAUGCACAUGUGCAUGACCAAAACCUCAGGUCCAUGUAGAUGGAUGCGUUGGUGUUGCUCAUUCGGAUCCAAACAUCCUCACGUGUUGCCCUAGUCACAUGCCACCGUGCAGGUUGGUUUGAUAUUGAUUACAUUUUGUGCUUUUUUCACCAGAAUCUGAGGGUCGUUGAAUUACUUGUGGCAUAAGAAGAAUCAGUCUAAUGGAUUUUUGGAAACUGGAAUUGAUCUAAUCAAAGGAACCGAUCUAAUCAUUGGCGGAUUGGUUGCCGUGGAAAUUGAUGGUAGGACUCGUUGUACUAGCCGCUCUAAUACUCUUCCGAAGUAAUUUCUAAUUGUAUUUUAUCAUUAUUGCAUAUUGUUAGUGUGUAUGCUUCACUUUGAUUUUGCAUGAAACAACUUUAUGUUCAAGAGUCUACCCUGCCUCAAUUUUUUUUUGUUCUCCACCGCUGAUUAAAACCACUCUUUUUAAGAGACAAGCCGUGAUGCUUGACUUUAUUAAUAAAGCAACCAUCGGCAAUGCCAAAUAACAUUCAACAUAUGGAUAUGAAAGAUAAUGGAGUCAAACACUCAAAUGACCACACUAGUCGAGAGACACAAAAUACAAAGAUAGGUAAAGUAGCCAACUAGGCCAACUGAAUAGGCCAACAUAAAGAAAAGGAGUACUAUAGGGGUGGAGGCAGGUUGUGGUGAAGAUCGAGGUAGUACUUGGAUCCUUUGUGCUUAGUGCAUCAGUGGCAUCGAUUUCGGCUCCCUUAGUGAGUGCCUUCAAUCCCAUAGCUACAAAAAUCCAAUUAAUUUGAACAGGCAAUCAGCUGGGAUAUUAGGGAAUAAUUUUUCAAAGGUGAACUUGUUACGUGUGGUUCAGAGGGAGCAACAUUGAGCAUAAAAAGCAAUCUAGAAAUAGGGAGAGCUUUGCUAUGAAGGCUAGGCACAAAAGUAAAGAGAACAUUGAAGUUGUUACGACCCCGAUGACGUUCAGCCACAACUAAAUGCAACUCCAAAAAAAAUAGCAAGCACACAUUGAAACUAGAUCUGCUAGGUAUCUUCCUUUGCACCACAAAGAGAACAGGCAACGUUAGUUGUUCCAUUAUGCUUAAGUAUCUGAUCACUAGCCAACUCUCAGUGAAGAAACAUGCAUGAUGUUGAGUCGUGAAACUACUUGGACUUUUUCUUUUCGAAAUUAUCCUUUUUGCACUUACCUAAAAAGUAAAUUUUAGUUGAGUAGUAGGACAUCUAAAAAAUUGACAGAGAUAUUGUAAUUUAUGGGUGUCCAGUUUUAUUAGUUGGUUCAUGUUUGCAUCUCUACUGAGUUCAAGGAAAAAAGGGUCAAGUUUUCUUCUUAAGAACUUAAUAGAAGGUAGAAAAUCAACAAUUACUUUGGUUGUGUCACCGCUGAUUAGCAGAACUCGGAUAUCCAUUCUUUGAGAAGAUAUAUUCUGGUGGGUUUCUUGAUCUUGCAUGAGACUCUAAAUUCAAUGCAAGUAGGAAAGGAAAGUGGAUUAGUGUGUAGGAUGAAAUUUGAGAAUGCAUAUGAUAAGAUGAUCAUUUGUGCAUCCGAUCUUAUAGAUGAAAGGAUUCCCUAUGUUAUGGACAGUAGAGGAGAAGGGCAGCUGGGUGUUAAAGUGAGUCAUGUACUUGGAUCUUACUUCAAAACUCAUCAACAUCAAGAUGAGCAGGGACACCGAGAUAGUGCAUUAGUUCAUCCACUACGUCCCAAUUUUCAUCUCCUAUGUCUCCACCAUCAACUUGCAUACCUGCAAUUAAAACAAGUAAAAUAAACCACCAGUAAAGUUGAAUUUGAUAGUAUAUAUGUAAUACCUGCAAAAUGUUAUAUAUCUUAUCAAUGAUGUAAUGUAACUGUAUGCUGGGAAGGGGGGGGGGGUAGGAUGUUAUUUUUUUGCGACAAAGAUAAAAAUGUGUAAAUGAUGCUACAUAUAUCGCCGAGUGAAAGGAAGAAGGAUAAUAAUCAUUACCAACUAAUAAAGGACAUUUUAUGGGAACUUCCAUGUUCAAAUAAAAUGAUUUAGUCAGGAAUUAUUCAUAAAUAUUUAGUCAAUAUUUAAGCACACUAGGGACAUUACUGCUAGAUUCCACUUGUUACCAACCUCUUGAUGAAAAUACAAUAAAAACACAACCAUAAAAUCACUGGACCGAAAAAUUGCUUCACCAUAAAAUCACUUGACCGACAAAUUAACAAGCAACUCAAUUUAUUUUUCUAUAUCCUAGUCAUCCUUAAUCACUUGAACAAUAUUACAACAGCCAUGAACUAAAAGUAAUGUUAAUGAAUCCAAGAAAAAGAAACUAAUUGGACUUCCUUCACUUGUGUAAUGCAGAUAGAGCGGUAUUACCUCGUGUAUGGCAAUUUGCAUAGGAAUGAUAGGUAAGGUAACAUAUGUCACUACUUUUAGUAAUAUGUUUGAUUUGCAUCAAGUCAAACCGUACCAUGAGGACACUAAUCAUCAUAGUCAGACCAAUCAGAUAUGUGUCCUUAUCAUACCCCACGAAAACUACACUUUCACCGUCACUACAUAUUUCCCACUGAAUAAUCCCUCAAGUGGAAUGGUUUUCUGCAACAACACCCAUCUGACAACACCACCAGAGUUAAAUGUCCUCUUUCGUAUUUAGAUGUCUAGUUCCGACAAAACUACAACGCUAAGUCCACCAUCCUCCAUCCGUAGGAGCUAAAAGCACAAGUUCUGCCAACAUGGUCGUAUCUUAGCUUCUUGAUCACACAAAGAGUCUGGAUUUUGAAACCAAACGUAAGGAAAUCACCUCCAAAAUCUUACCAGCAAACUGCAUUCCCCACAACGAUGAUGGACCUUACCUUAAAAUUGCCUUUGAUAUCACCACUGAGCAUAUAUUUACCCAAAUACCAGACAACGGGUCACGGAGAGAACCAAAUAUGGAUGUGUGUAUCCACCAAAACCAAUUUGGCAGGAUCUAGUGCACAUAUCCAUCUUCGGCUUCAGCAUGCAAGGGUGUUGUAUAACACCGAUUAAAAGUCUCGCUGGCUAUGGGCCAGUCAGAGAAUCACACACGACUAUCUCACAAUCCCGACCAUUCUUUAGGACUGCAAGACCAUGGAGGUAACAUAUGAAGUUUGAGUGUUCAUUAGCAAGUAAGGUUACAGGGAGAGGGCAACUAGUGUAUGGUCGGGGUGUGUGUGUAUCUGGUAGGAGUGAAGACCUGUUUAGUUUGAUACAACCCUUUGAAAAAGCCAAGUGGGGGGAUUUCCAAGUGGUGCUUGUGAUAGUUAUGGGAUGAAUUUUGGUCUUAGAGGAUGUUGCGCCAACACGGACAAACAGGAUGGCAUGUGGGAGGGAGGAUGGUUGGGUAGAGAGGUGGAAUUCCUCCCCAUCCAGUGGGGGUGCUAUUGCCGGCAAAAGAGGGGCAAAACCAGGAAUCCCCUUAGCUGAGCUGAGCUAAGGCUCCUAAAAUGCAAAGAGAAGAAGAGAAUCAUCAAACUGAAAUUGGAAAAGCAGCAGGAGACAUAAGAUAAGCAACAAAAUUACGGGUGUUCAUAGCCUGUUUCUCCUAAUGUCCGGUCAGAGGGCUGCCGAGGGGUUAGGAUCAGGCUGGACACAGUGCCCAGUGGGAUGAUUGUGCUAGAGCUUACAACAUAACUUAGCAGAGGAGACAACUUGCACUUGUUCAAUUUCGGUAGUGCAAAUUUCAUGGCAGAAAAUAACAACUAACAUGGCUGUUGUCGAUCUCUCUUCAGAUAUCGAGGUCAAUCGUAAUAAUCAUUGUCUAUUAGUGGUAUGUAAUUUAGUUAGUUAUUGUUAUACAUGAGCGACGAGAUUAUGCUUCAAAUAACAUUUUUUAUAGAUUAGUUACAUCCCAUCCUUCCUUCAAGUUGUAUCAAGACAUCUCGUAAUAGCUCUAAAUGAUUAACUCAAGUGUCUGGUUAGGGAGAAAAGAAGAUGAUGCUUCAAAUAUAUUAAUUGAUGGUAGAGACAAUCUACUUAUUUGUACUAGGUGAGUUGUACAAUGAUUAAUUUGUAAUUUAUUGCUCAGUGAGUGGUGAUCCAGACCCAUCACAUGUGGUGUCCUGUCUUAGUUGAACUAACUAAUGCUAGUACAUUGGUUUGAAAUAUUGUCCAAACUAUGUCGGUUGACCUACUUAAGCAUCUAAUGACUCACUAAGCAUGUUGCAUAGAAGAAUUACUUCAUGUGUUUCCAUAAAAAAAUAUGUGCACUGAAGUUUAAUGAACGAAAAAAAUAUAACAAGAUUAGCUUCCCGAUGUACCAACCGAAUUGUCAUUCUGGAUAUGUGCUGGUUUCGCUAUAUUAUUUUUGUGAAAUUGUUUCCAAUUUUGAAUUAUAGGAAACCUCCCCAUGACCCCAUGGUAACUACAGGAUAAAUGCAUGUACAAAUGAGUUGGCAAUGAAAUGAUGGUUAGCGUGUAGCAAUGGGUAGACAAUGAAGUAAUAGCCAUGUACCUGGUCUAGCUUUAAUGUAGCCUAUUUUUGAACUAUGAAGUUACAUCACCAUACAAUGACCACAGCGAAAGAAACAAAUAAACCAAUAUGCUCUUAUGUAUCUAGUCAAUCCAUUAUCAGAUGAACAAUAGGACAACAAACACGUAUGAAAAGUAACUGUAACAAAUACAAGAAAAAUAACCUAGUUGGACUUUUUUGCUAGUGUAACAUAGAUAGGGAGGCAUUACCUGCAACAUAGAAAUUUGCGUACGGAAAGGUAAAUCCAUCUCCUUUUCUUUUCUGAAUAUGUUUGAUCUCCAUCGUGUCAACUUGCAGCAUGAAGUCGUCUCUCAACACAGACAGAACAAUCGCAUUUGUCUCCUCGGCAUACCCUGUUAUGUGCACCCUUUUCCUCUCACUAAACAUUCCUUGUGGAAAGAGCUCCUGCAAUUGAAUAGUUUUUUGCAGAAGCACCCAGCCGACCACGCCAUGACAAUUUGAUUUCCUCUCCCAUAAUUGAAUGGUCAGUUCUGACAAAUACGCGAGACCAACACCACAAUCCUCUGUUCUUAAGAGCUGAAUAGAACCGGAGGUGUACUUGAUUUCCAACGGCUUGUUCAUCACAUGAAGGCUCUGGCUUUGAAGACAAAAUGCCAGAACGUCACCUCCAGAAAGCAACCAGCAAAGUGCAUUCCCAAUAAGAACGCCAGGCCUCAUGCUAUAAUUAUAAUUCUGUUUUGUAACCUCCGUGAAGACAGUGUCUCCCCAUACACCGGUUGCUGAUUCAUAGAGGCAAGCAAAUGCCUGCGUGCAUCUGACGACCCAGAUUGCGACCAAUUUGAACGGGCUCGAGAAGCAAUCCCCGUGCACGUGCCCAUCUUCGGCAUCAGCGCACAACAGUUCGGCAUGCCAGUACGUCACUUUGUUGUUGUCAAGCCCCGCUGGAAAACCCACGCGGUGUUGUUGGCCGCUGAGGGGAUCCCACACGAUAAUCUCGCGGAGGUGCAAGUUGGUUAGGACGGCGAGGCCAUGGCGGCAACCGAGAAAGUGCUGGCUGGCAUUGAAUCUAUUCUUGGGCAAGGAGAAGCGCUCGGCGGGGAUUCGAUCGGGUGGGUCGAGAGCGGGAUUGAAGACGGUGGGAAAGCCCGUUUCAGAGAAGAAGAAACCGAGAAGCGGGGGUUUCCGAUGGUGUCUACGGAAGCGCUGGAUGAACUUGGGGUCGGAGAGGAUGCAAUGCCAGCGCGGGCAGACGAGGGAAGCACGGGGGAGAGAGGAUGGCUGAGGAGGCAGGCGGAGGAGAAUCUCCUGGAGGAGGUCCUCGUCGUCCAGCGGGUGCACUGGCGAGGAAUGGAGGCGGCUCAUCCAGGCUAACCUUCUUCCAUCUGCACAUUGAGAAAAAAAAGGCGGCAGUAUAUCUUACACUUGAUAUGAACACAAGACUCAAUAUUCAUGGCGUUCACGUUGAUGAGAUACUAACCUGCUGGCAGCAGCGACGCCGAAUCCAUGGCUUGGCUUUCUGAAUCCAUGAGAUCCAUCGAUCUAGGGGUCAUACGGCACCGAGAUCAGGGAACGAAAUUCCAAGGAUCCAUCCAUCCACAAAGCAUGGUAAUGAAAUCCGGAAGCUCACCUGAAUCGACACCUAAACUCAAAUUGGGAAAGCAAGUUCUCAAAGAAGCAAGAGAAUCGUCGCCGGGUGCUAGGGGCGAGGCCAAGCGUCGGAGGUUGGGGAAGGCGUCUGGGGCGGGUGGGGCUGAACGUGGUGUCGUUGAGAGGGUGUUGUGCUAUAGCCUCACUUGGCACAGGAGACUUAGCUUGCGCUUGUCCAAAUUUUGUACUGAUCUCAUGGCAGACAAGAACAGCUAAGAUUGAUGCUGAUGGCAGAGAUAAUCUAUUAUACGUACCAGGUCAAUGGUACGUGCCUAGUUUAGUAGGAGGACUAGUACUUAUUUCCUGGUCGGUGAGUGACACAUGACCAUCACAUGCAGCAUCCUGUCAUCAGUUGAACUGGCUAAUUUAGAAAAUUAUCCUGAAGCAUCCAGCGAAUGUAGGAAAACUAAGCACGUCUCCUACAAAGAGUCACUACGUUUAUCUCUAUCUCCCAAAAGUAGCACAUCCCACCCGGGCACAAAGAGUUUCUUCUAUUUUUACUACCACUGCCUAAUGACAUGUUGAUGUAACUGUAGAAUCUGGAAGUUAUCAGCUCUAGUAUAAUGUGAGAACCAAGAAAGUUUUGACACAUGUGUUGCACUGCCUUCUUUUGCUUUAGCGCUGUAGGUUAUGAUACACGAGUAAAAUGUUUUGUUAUACGACCAGUAGCAGGCUUCUACUAUAGUAACACACUAACACUAGUACAUUUUAGCUGUGCAACAAUCAUGAUAUAUUGCACUAUUCGGUUAGAAACCCAUCAUGUUGACAGAGAUUUCAUCUUAACUAUGCCAGCAUGAAUGAGCGAAGAGUCAGAUUACACCGGAAUGCUGCUACUCAGCUGCUCCACUGUUGCUUCACUAGGCUCGAAAUAUGAUACUUCGAUGCCAGGUAAAUCAUAACACGUUGACCGAAAUGGAGGAUAAUAGUUUUCUAUACGAGGCGAGCAAAUCUAUCGCCAGGCCCCCGCGUCGCUCGCACAGAGCGGCUCGGGCGGCGCCUCCUUCCGCGGCGGCCGCGGCCACCCCAGCCUCCUCAUCUCCUCGCCAUCGCCAGCGUUAGCCACCGGGGCAAAGCCCUCGUCUGGUGCCGGCGGCGGCGGGACAGCGCCCGCGUUCAUAGUUUUCUUCAAAUCCCGUGGUACCUUCACCAGAUCUAUCCAUGGUGGCUACUCUGACAACGGUGCAACUGCUCGCGGCCUUCACAGCUGCUACUCCUCGGCUGUUCGGUGGCACGCUGCUUCGUGGUGACGGCUCGUUGGUGAGUGUCCGCCGGCGCGGCGGCAACCUGGAUCUGGUGGGCAUGGCGGCAAGCGACGCGUUGGCGCGCUGGGACGUGUGGACUUGGUCCAGCUGAUGCGUGCGUCCUCCGGCGUCGCUUGGGCCAGGCCUUGCUAGAUGGUGGCUCGGUCUCCCGUCGUCUGUGCGCGGUAUCUCGGGCGGUAACGGUGAUCCAGAACUUGUUCGGCCUAGAGAUGGUGGCUGCAAACUGUGAUGGUGCAGCGAUUAAGAUACGUACUUAAUCUUGAGCAAUUUUGGUUAGAUUCCGACGAUAGAUUCUAACUUUUCCAUUGUGCAAGUUAUACGAAAAUAUCCAAAGCUGAAUCAUUUGAGAACAUAGUUAGACAAAAUAAAUAGCAAUACAAACAGAAAACAAAAAAAGAAGAACAAUUAGAUUGUGUUGCCGCAACUUCAACCACUAUGGUCGACAAAUUCACAAUUCUUUUUGCUACAUAAAUACAUAAUAUUCUAAUAUAAACUAGUAAAAGAUCAGUGGCCACAUACAUCCAUCCAUUAGAUGCAAAGACUAGACUUCCUUGAUUGUUCUAAAUCAACAACAUACUUUAGAGAAUUGUACGGACAUGACAUUUUAGAAAUUAAUCAAAUUAAUGAACUAGAAACUUGAAAAAUAAAAUAAAGCAUCAUCUUAUAAAUUGAGUAUCCAAGAUGAAAAAAUAUACUGCCUUAAAGUUAAAAGCUACGGACACAGAAAGAAGAUAAGUUUAACUCACCUAUUGAACCCAUAUGGCACAUUAGUAGAUCUUUGUGUUCGAAGUUCUAGAUGCAACCAUUUCCAUCCAACUCCCUUGUCUACAAGCAAAACAAGCCCAAAAACAAUUGACAAUUUGCAAAGAGCAGUUGAAUCGAUGAUAAACUGUUGAUUUAAACACCAUAUCUUUUUAUUAAUUGGAUGAGGUGAAAGUAUAAUUUUUUACAAGGAUAGUAAAUGAAGCCACUCUAUUGUUAGGUCCAUAGCAUCAAUGGUUAAAAAUAAUGGUAUGACAGAAUAGAUGUUUAUAGAAAAUGCAGCUCUUCAGUGACAAAAUUAGUAUCCCAUUAUAUAGCAACUUUAGAAUUUAAUGAACUAGGACUGUUAUCGACAAGAAAUAAAGCGCAUGGUAUUAUGAAUUGAUGAUUAUUAUCAAGACCGGCAACGAUAUUUUUGUCUUUUUGAAGAAUAAUAAAUGAACUGGAGCACAUAAAAAGAUUUAAGCCUCCAAUUGUGCCAGAAGAAUUGCUAUUCAAGAUAACAUAUAGUUUCAAUAUAUCAUUUUCUGUGAAAUUGGUGCCAUUUUCAGAUUACAUGAAACUCCUAGUGAAUAAUUAUAGAUAAGUGCAAGUAGCAGUGGGUACGCAACAAGUUAGCAUGUUAGCAAUGGGAAUGCAACAUAGUAAAAUUUGCAUUAAUGUCCUACCUUCAAUAUAGCCCCAUUUUAAACUAAUAAAUUACAUCACUACAUGAUCAUCAUACCGAGCAUAUUCUUAUAUAUCUAGUCAAUCUUUAAUUACAUGAGGAAUAUUUCAUGAAUCAGGUACCAAAAUUAUCUUAAUGAAUCUUGGCAAAACAAUCUAUCUAGAUUUUGUUUUGCUUGUGCAAUGUAGAUAGGGAGGAAUUACCUGCGGUAUAGAAAUUCACAUAGGGAUAGUAGGUGUUCGAAGACUUGAAAUUUCUUUUAAUAACGUGUUUGAUCUCCAUCAUGUCAACUUCGAGCGUCAAGUCACCUCUAAUCGUAGAAAGAACAAUGACAUUUGUGUUGCCAUCAUAGACCUUUAUUUCUACUGAUUUUUCAUUAUACCCCUUUUUUCUUACACUUUCUUCAUCCAUAAACAUCUGUUCAAAAAAAAAACAUCUGUGGAAAGAGCUCCUCCAGUUGAAUGGUUGUUUGCAGAAGAACCCAUCUGACAACACCAUCAUAGUCCGAUUUCCGCUCCCAUAAUUGAAUGGUCUGUCUAGACAAGUAUGCUAGGCCAAGUCUACUAUCCUUUGUCCGUAUGAGCUGAACAGAUCCGAUGGACACAGUAAUACAUGCUAGGUUCUUAACCACACCAAGGUUCUGAUUUUCAAGAUCAAACACAAGGACGCCAACUCCACUAAGCAACCAACAAAGUUCAUUUUCCAGCAAAGACACCAGGACUUAUGAAAUAAAUUUGAUUUGUAAUUUCCAUGACAAUCUCUCCCCAUACACCAGAUGCGGAUUCGUGUAGGCAAGCAGAUGCUUGCUUGUGUCUGACAACCCAGAUCAAGACCAAUUUGAACGGGCUCGAGAAGCAAUCGCCGUGCACGUGCCCAUCUUGAUCAUCUGCACACAUCACCGAGGCAUGCCAGAACGCCACUUCAUUGUUAUCAAGCCCUGGUGGAAAAUUCACGCGGUGUUGUUGACCAGAGAGGGGAUCCCACACAAUGAUCUGGCGAUGCUGCCACAUAUUGACUAGGACGGCAAGGCCAUGGCGGCAGCCGAGCAAGUCCCAGCUAGCGUAGGGUUUGCUGGCCUUGGGCAUGGAGAAGCGCUCGACAGGGAUGUGAUGGGGUGGAUCUACUGGUUUGAAGAUGGUGGGCAUGCCCCAUUCUUCGACGAAGAAGCCAAUGAUUGGAGGUUUCUUGUGGUGUCUGCGAAAGUGGGUGAGGAACUUGGGGUCAGAGAGCAUGCAGCGCCAGCGAGGGCAGACGAGCGAGGUGUGUUGAAGGGAGGAUGGCUGUGGAGGGAGGCGGAGGAGGAUCUCCUGGAGGAUGUUCUCGUCCUCCAGCGGGGCCGCCGGAGCCGGCAAUAUGAAUGGCUGCAGCUCAUACUUGAGUGUAUGUACAAUGAAUCAGGAACAACUUAUAUCACCUAGCUAAAAAUCCUAAAACACAAAAGAGGAAUGAAAUCAUAAUAUGAAAUUGGGGAAGGAGGAGACGGGAGGGAAGUAAGAAAAAUCAGGGCUGCUCACGUCUUUUUCUCCCAGCGUCGUGCCGGAGCGCCACCGAAGGUUGACGGCAGGGCUGCACUUCGGAGGUUGGAAGAGGAAUCGAUGAGCGGGUGGGCAGUCGGUGAGAGGGUUGUGCUGCAGUCGGUGACAGGAACAGCUAGGAUCGAUGCUAUCUCUCAAAUAUCAAAGUCAAUCGUGGCAAUCGCUGGCCAUGUACCAGCCAAUAAUUCAACUCUGAGAUGCUGCUAUCGAUUGAUGACAGAGAUAAUCUAUUAUAUAAAUACUGGGUCAAUCCUACCUUGAUUAAGUGGUAUUUAUUUCCUGCCGGGCAAGUGGUGACCCAUAACCAUCACAUGCAGCGUCCUUUCAUCAGCUCAACUAAUGUUAUCAUUAUAUUAAUUUAUAAUAUUAUCCUAUAUUAAUUUAAAUAUUAUCCUACAAGCAGCCAACUUCCAGGCCAUAUGAACUAAUAUCGCCCUUCCAAAAGCUUCCAGGAUUUCUUCUGGUUUUACAAGUACUGCCUAGUGACUGAUGUUAGUAGCAAAAGCACCGGAAACUCUGUUCUUGGACUCUAUUUUGGGCUACUAAAUGCUACUUUUUUCGAAUGAAGGGACUCCUGCUGAAAGCUACAUAGAACCAAGAAUUUUUUUAUUUCUUCUUGCAGGCACCAAGAUUAAUUUCUUCUAUUUUUACUACUAGUAAAAUGUGAGAACCAAGAAAGUUUAUCCUAUGUUGCACUGCAUUCUGUUGGUUUAUGUGUAAAUUUUCAUACUUAGCAAAACGUUUUUAAUGGAGUAUCAGCAAAACAUACUAUAUACACGAACGAUAGCAGGCUUCAACUAUAGUAACACUUGUACAUUUUAGCUACGCACCGAUGAUGACAUUUUUUUUGCAACAACAAAUGCCAUACAUAUCAACAAUAUUGCAUUAAUCAGUUAGAAAUUUAUCAUAUUAACGGAGCAUUCAAGUUAACUCUAGAAGUAGGAAUGAGGUAUAGGCGUGUUACAUUGGAAUGCUACUACUCAGUUGCUCCUGUUUUCGAACUCUACGCUGCACCACUACAGAGAAGCAAUCAGUGAUGGUGGGCAAGGUUAUGUCAAGUAUUUUAUUAGUUCAUCUUAAUUAAGAUAGGCUUUUGAAUUCUACAAAUUGGUAGGACAUGAAUUUUAACAACAAGCUUCAACCUCAUGUUUUGAAUCUUUUGGUUCUCCUGCUGAGUGAAGGCUGCCGCUUCAGCUGCUAAAAGUAUCUCUUCACCCAAUACCAGGACGACCGGGUCAUAAAAUAGAAAACUAAAUUAAGGGGAAUAAAGUUUCGAGAUUUCAUAAAAAAAGGAACUCUUUUGGUCUUAUUGCAUUGCCUACAACCACUUGAUCUACUCAUACUGAUACAACAUUAUGUGCAGCAAGAUGCAGAUAAUUUUAUAAAUUACAAACACUUGAUGUUGCUAAAAAAUAUGGAUUUAUGUAUUUUCAGCUGGGUAGCGCAGGGCGGCUUGCAAUAGCGAGCUGGUAAGAGCAGUGAGCACACAGCUGUGAAAUCAUAGUUACCAGCUGAAGGAGGAGUGAUGACGAAGACAUCACCAAAGAACCCUGGGUGGAGAGUGUUUCAGCCAAGUCGUCCAUAAGGUUUUCACCUUGUUUUCCCCUGAUUAACUGCACAUUUCUCUUUGUUUAAUUAAUCGAACUAGUCAUCAACCCGUGCACCUGCACGGGCUAGUGUCCAUGUUAAAAUCAUUAUUAACAGUAAUGUAAAUAUGCAGGAAUUUGAAUAUUAAACUUAGAGCCCAUAUGAUGAGCCAUCAUUAUUUGGGAAGCCUACUUGUUGAUACCCAAAUGCUAAUUUCUUGUAGGAGUUUACGUAAAGUUUCUGGUUGUGUUCAUAUGUAAACUUUUCAAAGAUAGCUUUUUGAGUAGACGAAACUUGUUGAAAAGUGAAACAUGCCAGAAUAAUGUUGGUACUAUAAAUGUAUAUCAUGCAUCAUGGUGAUAGCAACAUAACACUAUUAUUUCCUUAUAAGGUAAUUUACUGGAACAACUCUGUGAACCAAACACUAUGAUUUUUUUUACUUGUCAUAGGAAUAUUACAAUGAAACUGAAUUAUAGUGGAAAAUUUGAUUCAGCAAAUUCCUUCUGUCUAUUAUAUUAAAUGUCUCAAAUUACUUGGUGCAUGCAUGUGAAUUCAAGCAUUUGGUUUUUUUAAACUCUACACAACAGCCAAUACUCGAUUCUCUAAAAGGGAAUUUCUCAAACACUAUUUGAAAGGCUCAAUUGACGUUCAAUACUAUUUGAUGAAGCAAGUCAUUAUGUUGAAUGAACACCAUGUAAUAACUAUACUGGGCCACACAUACAGUAGAUCAAUCCAAUACAACUUAAUUUUCCAAUGCCCCAACAGUAGAUCAAUUAUAAUAGAAACAUCGAUUUAACUUCAAAAAUGCAAAUAAUUGCAAUGUCUAACAUUCAAGUCACUGGAAGGAAGUACUGGUAUUGGUAUCGAGAGUCAUCACCAGCGGUGCAAGAUAUUCAAAAUACCAGAAGAUAUUCAAAGUUUUUAGAAAAUAUAGCAUAACUAAACAGCCGGGAUACACACAAACAUCAUUUAUGACAUGUGUAGGUUUAUAAUUCUGAAUCACCAAAUACAUGCCAAGUAAUAAAAAUGCAUUUAAAUGGAUGGACAAACUAUGGCAAAGGAUAAAGGGUAGCAUUUAGAGCAUAUAGGGCAGCGUCCCAAGACGAAACAAUAUGAUAUGAAAAAAUGGUAUGCAGGGAAGUGAUAGGACCUUCUGUAAAUUUGCAGCAAGAAUUAAGCCCAUUAGUUUUGUAUAAUGGUAGUACUGUACCUAUACAUUAGAAAAAUCUAACUAUUCACCACAUCAAACAGUAAGGUUAAGGAAAAUAUGUGGUCUGGGAUAACGUAUAAAUUUGGCUGGAAAAAUAGAUAAACAAAAUUUGCAUGUUCGAACUUUAUUUGGAACAACAAAAAUAUAACAUACUGAAGGCGUUAGUGUGCCAUAGGCUUCUACAGAAUCAACAGUAGAAUUUACUACAUGAGUAUAAAUAUAACUUAUAUGAUUAGAAAAUCUCUUAGGAGCUCAGUUUAAAUGUAAAUAUCCUAAUGAUGUAUUAAUUGACUGUGGUCACGACGUACAUAAAACUCGUCUUUCAAGCAACAAUAUCCCGUGGUAAAAAAAGUGCACCUCUAGAUUCAAAUGAAAGAGGAAAGGUUGCCUACAUGCGAUAAUGGCAAAACUGACAUCAAGGUCCAAGCAGAGGCACCCCGCUAAUGACGUAGUUGAUGAAAGUCGACAUCAUGGAGGUGCACAAUCUGUACUAUGGAUGGGGCCGUUCGUAAUGAAGAGGAUCGCGAGCUAGGAGCAACAUGAUGCACUGCGAGAGGUCGUUUGGAUUUGAAGGCUAGGUGGUCCAAACUCAAUUAUAUGAAGUUUUGAACGCAAAGAGAAAUAUGUAUCUAACUGAAGAACAAAACCCACCCAACUGAAUGUUCUUUUGAUGCAAUGCUCUUUAGAUAGCAACUAACAUUCACAAUCAUAGCAUGUAUUUUGAUCCCCCCUCACAAUGGACAGAACUUUAGUAAUGCUAAGCACGACAAUGAAUUGCACACCAAUAUAAAAGAAGUGAAACCUCAUGCACAUGAAACAAAACUGUAUAUAACUGAAUGUGUGGUUUAUCUGUAUUGUACUUAUGUGUGCCUAAUGAAUAAGAAUGGAUAUUUUUAAUGAUAUAGGGUCAGAAUUUCAUCCUUGGUAGAUAGAGAACAUGUACAUGUUUGUGAUGCAAGAUUCUUGUAUGUAACUACGAACUACAUUCUUUCUACAAAAAUUGUGGAUGUGCAUCCCGAUACGAUUAUACUGAAUGAAAUCAUGAGGGUAACUUUGUUUCUAUGAAAAGGCCCUGUCCCGGUUCCAUGCAUAUUUCAUUGAAAAUGAAACACAUAGAACAUCGUUCUAUGGACCAACUUACAGCAACACUGCUGGUUCAGCGAAAGGAGUAAAACAAAAACUGAUAUCAUCCUGGGCAAGAUAACCCGGUAACCAAAUAUUCAGAAACUAGGGGAUCACCACAGUUCGAGUCUUUGACCACUCUCCUUCGUUGGUAGUCCUCUUGUUCAGUAGCAGGUGAGCACUAGGAUUCCGCCCCUUUCAGAUCGAUUUCCAUGGUGCCGUCAUGAGCAUAAAUAUAGCAUGUAUGACUGAAAUUCGACUAUUCCCAAACUUACUCUGCAACUCUGCAUGUAAUUUAUUCUUUGAAAAUAUUCUUAUCUUUUUAUAUCCAGUAAAUUCAGCGGGCUAGCGCUACAGGUUAGGCAAGAGCAAAAAAACUCAGGCAUAUUUAUCCAAAGCAGCUGAUGGUAUUACCUCUUGGUCGCCAUUGCCAAGGCGGAUGCUAGUCCGGAGACGACCCCAGCAUGACUUGUUAAGUAGUGGUGACCUCAUGAUAAAUUUUGAUGGUGUUGGUGAUCCGUCGGCCUGGCCUUCCGUGAUUUAUUUCAGUCCAACAAACUCUUAAUUGUACAGUAAUUUUCUGAUUAUGUAUGAAUGUAAGGCUAUCUCUGGAGAAACAUCUAUAACGACCAUUAGAUGAUCACAAUAGCUGGAUCAAACAGACAUAUAAUCUGAAUUUUGGUUCCACAACAGCACAUGUGAAGAAAAAAAAGUAACUUCAGGGUGCUCUUGCGUACCUGGCCGAUAGCGCAGGCGGCCGCUGCGAUCUCGAGCAAUCAUGAUGGGUUGGUGAAACCGCGAAAAGUUGAGGCUAUGAUUAUUUGCUAUGGCAAGUAGGUCUAGAUCGGUGCGAGGCCAAGAAAACCACAAAAGUACUGCUGCAAGUAAUUUUGGAGGGGGUUAGUCAAACAAAUCUACCGCAGCGACCGGCAGGGAGGAGGAGCAUAUGCCUGAAACGGAGGCGAUCGUAGAUUGAAAGACCUCAUCAUCAAGGAGCAAGCGAAGAAUAUGUAUAGGGAGAGGUAGGUCGGUUGAUUUCUGUUAGGAGCAGCAGAAUUUUUCAUGUGGGGAAGAAGAAAAACAUGAGACCAAGAACGACAGGAGAAAUUGAGAGAGAGAGAGGUCGUGACAAAGAGAGAUUACAUUCGAGGGGCUUAGUCAAACGGGUCUGUAGCAGCGAGAGAGCAAGAGGGACUUGAGAGAUCGAGAGAGAGAGAGAGAGAGAGAGACGUGAGAAAGAGAGACUGUUUUUUUUCUCUUUCAAGGAAAGAGCGACCACGUUUUGAAGGAAAGAGAGACCAUGAUUGCUACGAUUCUGGUCUUGAUGUUUUUUUUUGUUGUGAGAUUUCUCGGAAGAUCUAGACCGUAAUAACUCGGUCCCACCAGAUUAACGACUCGUAAAAUCUGAUUAACAUGGNNNNNNNNNNNNNNNNNNNNNNNNNNNNNNNNNNNNNNNNNNNNNNNNNNNNNNNNNNNNNNNNNNNNNNNNNNNNNNNNNNNNNNNNNNNNNNNNNNNNNNNNNNNNNNNNNNNNNNNNNNNNNNNNNNNNNNNNNNNNNNNNNNNNNNNNNNNNNNNNNNNNNNNNNNNNNNNNNNNNNNNNNNNNNNNNNNNNNNNNNNNNNNNNNNNNNNNNNNNNNNNNNNNNNNNNNNNNNNNNNNNNNNNNNNNNNNNNNNNNNNNNNNNNUGAGAAAGAGAGACUAUGUUUUUUUUCUCUUUCAAGGAAAGAGCGACCACGUUUUGAAGGAAAGAGAGACCAUGAUUGCUACAAUUCUGGUCGUGAUGUUUUUUUUCUGUUGUGAGAUUUCUCCGAAGAUCUAGACCGUAAUAACUCGGUCCCACCAGAUUAACGGCUCGUAAAAUCUGAUUAACGUGGUAAUUUCUAAGGAGUCUAGAAUUAGUAUAGGUAUAGAUAGAUAGAUAGAUAGAUAGAUAGAUAGAUGUGGUCUUUAGGCUUUGGCUGAAAAAAAAAAAGAAUGAUCCUACGGAAUAAAGUUGAGAUGCGUGUGAAGUAAUGCAAUUAUAUUAUAUCAUUUUUUGGGUGGAUGGAAUAAGAUUCACCUCAUCGUAAUAAGAACCAUGAGAAACAAAAUAAGAACAUGAAUACACUCACUAUAUACAUAGCUCUUUAGUGCAAAGUUGCACACACUUGAGAGGAACAAUUGCUGACAUGCACGGACCCCCACGACUACUUGAUCUAAUCAGACUUAGACAACAUUAUGUGCAGCCAGCUGCACAUAAUUUUAUUCAUUACAAACCCUUGACAAGAACAACCAACUGCAGAUAGUACAGACAUGCACAUGUAGCUAAUAAAACUCGAUCGACUCAGACUCGUACAACAUUAUACGCUGCAAGGAGCGCAUAAUUUUAUUCAUUACAACACAAUAUAGAAAAGUACGAAAUGCAAAUACGAAACUGCCAGGUGCACUUGCUCCAGGGCUUGUUGCAUUUGUUCAUGGACGGAAGCAAGGAUUCUGGCGCUCCAUCCUAGCCAAUGCUUCGCGUAUCUCUCCGAUACCUUGCAUCACCUGUCCCAGGUCACUCCUUAGAUGCCGGAUCUCUCUGCUGAGAUAAGACAUCGUCUGAUCCAUGUUCCUGCUCAGAUCUGCCAGGAUUUCGACCUGUUCAUGGGUCUCAUGGCCUUCCAAAUGCUCAGCAAUUUCACGAGGCAGUCGCUCUAUCAACUCUUUUAUCUUUUCAACAUCUUUCUCUGCCUUUAUCUGAUCGAUCACCUCUUGAUGAUCCCUGUCUAUGUCACUGCCAAGCUUGUUCAGUAAAAACAAGUUUGUCCAGUUGAGCUGCUUAUGCUCCCCAAAGCCCCCUUCUCCCGCGAUUAUGAAAGGCACAAAUUUUCCAUAAGGCCCACCCAGAUCCAGGUAGCUGUUUGAUGGAAGCUCUCUAGCCUCAUAAUUGGAAGUCCUAACUCCUGCCAGUGGAAGCCUGUAAGCCAUUGAUUAUCACUUACUUGCCAAGCUGAAGAACUUCGGCGCCUUUGGAGAAGAGAACCCUCAACUCCUGCUGCUGCACCCUCCCUCUAAUGCUAAUGGUGUCUAUGGAGCUCGAAUUGGAAUUUCUAUUUUCUGAGGCAUGCUUGGAUGGAUGAACUUGAUGUCCUAUUUAUAGAGUGCAAGCCACAUGUGAAGUUGCUAGAAGUGCUCACAAUCGAGCCAUCAUGGCUCUGAUUGAAGUGGCAGUCACGGGUGAAGCUGCUAGAACACUAAGGACGUGUGCACCUUCACUUUGUACGUACUUGCAUGUAUAUAUUGCGCAAGAACCAUGUACACUAUCAGUAUGGGCAGCAAUAAUGAUCAAUAAUUUACACAAGGAUAUUACUACGUGUUGGCAUCAAAUUAUCCUUUAGAGAAAAGGAAAACGCACCACGUCACACGGCAUGCUGCUAGAACAUUGAACACGCGCCCCAUUACUUUGUACUUGCUUGCAUCUGGGCAGCAACCAUGUAUGUCAUGGGCAGAACUAAUCUACAGUACCAGUAUGCGCAACAAUAAUAUACUCCGAUAUAGGACAAUUUCAUACAUGAAUCACGCAAGCCUAUUGGUUUUUCCUGCUGGCGUCAAUCUCUAGCCGGUUAGAAUGUUGAUACUUGAUGAAUGGAAUAAGAUCAACACAGAUGGCUUAAAACUAGUAGGGGUGUGUUUGGUUGCUUUCUUAGCCGGGCCUGGCUGAGAGGAGAAAACGGGACAGGCUGAGCAGGGCCUGGUUUAGGAAAUACAGGGUAAAAUAUCACAUUGGCGUGUUAUCAGCCCUUGCCAACCGUCUACCGGGGUGGGGGCCUCGGUCCGCGACCUUCUUGGUGCAUCGGGCUUUGAGGUGGUCCGGCUCGUGGCAACAUAAAGUCUGGUGACCAAGUGGGCCGGAGGCGAGCGUCGCCUUGCAGCUGGAAUGCUGGAUCGAUCUGCCUCAAUGUUUUUAGUGCACGUCCUAGAUCAGGAGCUCGGCUACAAUGUUUUCAUGGGAAUGACCAUAUCCUCGACAUGAUUUGCUUGCUCCUCUAUGUGUAUGGUGGUGAUCUUGGACGUAACAAUGUUCCACUUAUUUGGUAGCAUCACUCCCUAGUCAGCUAAGCUUGAUAAGGUCGUUGAUAAUGUUAGUAGUGUCGAAGGUAGAUUCUAGAUAUUUUUUAUAUGGGAUAUUAGAAUUAUAUGAAACAUCACAUGAUUUUGGAAACCCAUUUAUUCAGUAAAGGAUAAAUAUCUUUAUUUUAUUUUCUGAAUUUUUUACUAUUCCUAUUUCGUAUUUUCUUGGCUUUCAAUGUCAUACAUCGUACUUUGCUGCCCUUAGACUUUACAAGACCUGGUGUAGAAAGAGAAAUAUGGUGUAAAUUUACAUCUGGCUUUAAACCAACUCUGUUGGUCUUAUUCCAUUCAUCAAGUAUGGACAUUCUAACCAGCCAAAUAUCGAUGCCAACAGGUAAACAAAUAGCCUUGCGUGAUUCACGUAUGAAAUUGUCAUAUAUCGUACAUUGUUGCUGCCCAUACAGAUAUUGAUGCAAGUACAAAGUGAUGGUGCACGUGCUCAGUGUUCUAGCGGCUUCCCAUGUGACUUGGUGACUUUUCCUACCAAUAUCUUUGCGUGAUUCACGUAUGACCUUUGUCCCCUAUUGUAUAUUAUUGCUGCCCAUAAGGAUACUAUCAGAGCAUCGACAGACGGGUCUCUCAUACCCGUCACAAGCGCCCGGCAGGCUGUCUAGUCAUUGACCGGUCACAAAUUUCAUCCAAACAGACCUCUCAAACGGGCCUCAAAUGCCCAGGCUGGCCAGCACCCCUCAUAUCCAGCCCAAAUAUAGGACGGAUAUGGGGCUGCCCGGGCACGCCUGGGCAUGUCCGCCUGACAGGUCCGGCCCAUCACGGACCCCACAAAAAACUCCAAUCCGGGCGGCGAGCUCAAACCCUAGCUCACUCUCUCCCUCUCUCGCUACGCCCGUCCACUCCUCCCCCUCUCCGAUUCCGAUCCCAUCCACCACCAUGAGCAGUUCUGGCAGCAACUCUGGCUUGGAGCUCUACUAUGAGGAGGAGAUGGCCCUCCGCAUAGGGCUGGAGCGGUCCAAGGUGGAGACCGGCGGCAGCUCCGGAUCUGUAGCGUCGCCGCACCUCCCGCGCCGACGCAGUGCGGACGCCGGAGCUAGACCCUCCCAGCCCGCGUCCAGCGAGGCCCGGUCAGCACAGUCCGCGCCUCGGCCCCACGCCGUCUCCUUCCCCUGUCGGCCACUCCUGCAUGCGGCCCGCUGGGUGCUUGUGCUCGUGCCUCCGGCCCGCACGCGCACUCCGGAGUCGGAGGCGCGCGUCGCGUACCAUGAGAGGCAGCGUGCAUGGGAGAGGGAGGCGGCGAAGCAGUCCGUGCGCCGCCGCGGUGGGACGGAGUCGGAUGCCGACGAGGACGCGCGCCUCCUCGCCUCGGUGUACUGCCGCUCCCUCACGACGGCGGAGACGGACGCUCGGCGCCUCUGACAAAAGAACGCCAAGGCGCUCCGGCUAGGCAUUGAGCAGUCGGAGCGCGAGUCAAAGGAGGCAGCGGCGAAGAAGGCUCGGGUCAAGGCUGAAGCGGGAGCAGGACAGGACGGCCCGUCUGAUGAAGGGGCUCGUCGUCCUCUCCGACGCCUGCUCUGACGGCGGCGACAGCUGCACCUCAUCGUUUAUCCGUUUGGAUGUGGUGAAGUAUGUUUAUCUGUUUGCAGCUCAAUUUUUUGUCCGUCGUUUGAUCAUAUAGAAUAGAUCAACAUGUGUAUUGAUAGUAUGGAUAUAAGACGCCGGAUAAGAGAUACGCAGAUGCACAAUGGCAAAUAUGUGGGGUGUCCGGUCAGUGCCCGCGGACGCGCCUGGACGACGUCCGCGGAUGUUUGAAGGGUCGGAUUUGUCAACUCCGGAUGUAGAUGCUCUUACUAUACAUGAUUGUUGCCCAUAUUAUACAUGCAAGUACGUACAGAGUGAUAGUGAGUGCACACGUCGGCAAUGUUCCAGCAGCUUCACCUGGGACUGCCACUUCAAUCAGAGCCAUGUUGUCUUGUACUCUAUAAAUAGGAAUUUAUAAUCAGAGCCAUGAUGGCACGAGUGUGAGGAUAAGGGCUUGCAACACAAUGUUACAGUAAAUCAUGCAAUAUGUGUCUACGAUCUGCAAUAAAUGUUGAGGCCUGGUGGUGGCGGUACCGGGCUUCUUCAACUAAGAGCGGACGCAAGAUCAUGGCGGCAUCAGGCAUCUUCAAUGGUUAUAAGAUACUUGUUGAUAGACUUUGCCAAAUAAAUUUUUUGAUGAUAUGUCAUACAAUAAAAGAUUGAAGAGAAGAAGGUUGUAUGUACAUGAACCAACACCCCUUGCACAAGGUUCAAUGUAGAAUGAGAAAGCACCUUAUUUAUUAUCUCACAUUCUAUUGGGUAAACUAGAUACAACUCAUUAAAGUUGUAUGUUAAUAAGAUGUUAGUUGAUGACAUGGCAUAUUUUAUCAACAAGCUAACAUACAAACUAUUGGAGAUGCCCUUACUGGCAGCGGUGAUGGGCGGGUGGAUGCUGGCGCCGACCUACUGCUUCGUGGCCGGCGGGUCUUUGCGGGCCCGAUUUAGGCGUCGCCGGGCCCAGGGUGGAAUGGUAUGCCCAGCUGCCGCGUCCGGACGGCGACCGUGACGGUGCCGAAGGCACGGGCCUUCCGCACAACGACAGUGGAGAUGGUUCCCUCCCACGCGGCUCCGGUGCUGCUGCUCCGGUCACCUGGUGCGUCUCUCUCCGUCCUCUUGGCCUCGUGGUGGUGAUCUAAGUGAGGCGGCGUGGGUGGCGUCAAGACCGCGGUGGCACAUACUCGUGGGCGGCGAGGUGGCUGCUUGGCUUCGGCCCGGUUUGGCAGUGGGGUUUGGAUUGCGGGAGAAUUCCUUGCCGGUUCUUCCGACUCCGAUGCGGUGACACCUGCGGUGCCGCCAUCCCUUCCUAGGGUGUUGGAGGUAUCCAUCCCCCACUCCCUUCCACGUGCCGAGAGAAACCGUAGGACAUGUCCGAGCAGCAGCGUAGUCGGCGUCACAUUCCUUCUUGGAGGUGCUGCUUGGUACGCGGCGGAUCGGAGCUUUUGUCUGUGGUGGGUCGAUUUCGGAGGGCGCAGCAGUAGCGGGUCAUCCAUGCUUUGUCGAGCUGCCGUUGAUGGCAUUUGUUUCUUCUUCUUUGUUUUUUUCUCUUUUCUUUUGGGCUUCUUGUCCUGGUUGCCCCAGCAAUUGCUAUGCAAUCAGUGUUGGUUGCUUUGUAAUACAUAGCGGGGAACCUUUUUUGAGUAAAAUGAAAGAGACAUAAGGUCUAAAUUUGACGCCAACGUGUAGUAAUAUCUCUGUCCCCUAUUGUACAUUAUUGCUGCCCAUACUUAUAGUGUGCAUUGUUGUUUCCCAUAAUAUACAUGCAAGUACGUACAGAGUGAAGGUGCACACGCCAUUAGUGCUCUAGCAGCUUCACCGGUGACUGCCAUUUCAAUCAGAGCCAUGCUGGCACGAUUGUGAGCACUUCUAGCAACUUCACAUGUGGCUUGCACUCUAUAAAUAAGACACCAAGUUCAUCCAUCCAAGCAUGCCUCAGAAAAUAUAAAUUCAAAUUUCAGCUCCAUAGACACCAUUAGCAGGAGUUGAGGGUUCUCUUCUCCAAAGGCGCCGAAGUUCUUCAGCUUGGCAAGUAAGUGAUAAUCAAUGGCUUACAGGCUUCCACUGGCAGGAGUUAGGACUUCCAAUUAUGAGGCUAGAGAGCUUCCAUCAAACAGCUACCUGGAUCUGGGUGGGCCUUAUGGAAAAUUUGUGCCUUUCAUAAUCGCGGGAGAAGGGGGCUUUGGGGAGCAUAAGCAGCUCAACUGGACAAACUUGUUUUUACUAAUUAAAAAGCUUGGCAGUGACAUAGACAGCGAUCAUGUAGAGGUGAUCAAUCUGAUCAAACUUGUUUUUACUAAUCAAGAUAAAAGAGUUGAUAAAGCGACUGCCCCGUGAAAUUUCCGAGCAAUUGGAAGGCCUCGAGACCCAUGAACAGGUUGAAAUCCUGACAGGUAUGAGUAGGAACAUGGAUCGGAGGAUGUCCUAUCUCACCCAAUGUUUAAAUAGCGGGCUAUGGCAUAUAGCGGCAACCCUUAAAAACAGCUAUAGCUGGGCUAUAGCGAGGCUAUGGCGGCAAAUUGUACAUGAAAUCAUUUAGCGGUAACAUGCUCAAACAGCUAUAGUGGGGCUAUAGCUGGAUAUUUGAAAAUAUGAUCUCACCACAGAGAUCCGGCGUCUAAGAAGUGACCUGGGAGAGGUGAUGAAAGGUAUCGGAG
rnacentral:lncRNA from 1 species